rnacentral:lncRNA from 1 species
GGUGGUGGCUGCAGGUUUGCUGCUCACAGCUGAGCAUUGCACACACAGUGCUGGCAGCAGGUUUGUUGCUGGUCCUUUUCUGUGUCGGUAGCAGCUCCCUGUCUGUCUGUCUGGCAGAGAUUCAGUCAGGCAAGGCUAGGGGGUGCCUUGCUGCAGCAGCUUACAUCCUCAAUGUCUCCCCUGCGAAGCUGCUUCUCCUCCCCGGUCCAACUGCGUCCACCUCUGAUCCCCAGGCCAUCCUUGCUUGGCCUCCUACUGCUUGAACUCCUUGUCCUGCUGCUGGAGGAGGAGGAGCAGCAGCUGGCUGGGAGCCCCCGGACUCACACCUCCUCCAGCACCCUCCAGGCUGAGGGGCAAGUAAGGCAAGAAAAUGAAGUCACAGGGGGGAGACCACUCCAUGAUCAACCUGUCUGUACAGCAAGUACUGAGCCUGUGGGCACACGGGACAGUGCUGAGGAGCCUGACCGGUGAGUGUGAAAUUAUUAUUAUUCAUAAAGCGCCAACAUAUUCCGCAGCGCAGUACAAUAGGUGGACUAAGAAACAAGUCUUUGCAACAAGACAAGGUGGACGUAAAUGAACAGAAGAUGAUGAGGGCCCUGCUCAUAUGUUAUUUUAAAGGGAGUGGGAUGCUAGUGGUUGGUACUCAUGCAGUGUCUGUGACAAAGCACCAUCCCCUGUGAAUUGUAUGAAGAGGCAGUACUAAGUGUGACUGUCAGCCUCUUAAUACAAUUAAUAAGUUAACUAAGAUCUGUUAUCUGUUUUAAGAGCAUUGAUAGUGUUGCACUGGUAGACAUCAGCAGAAAAUCUUCAAUAAAUGAGGUUGACUUAUGUUCUUAAUGCAUUGUUUUUCCCAAAUACAAUAUCCCCACAUACCUCCACGUAUACUGUAUUACCAAUAUAAGAGUAUCCUGCUUCCUUGGAUUGACAAAUAAUUGCUUAUUGGAUAACAAACGUGUACAAGACACAAUAACUAUAAAUUAUAAGACUAGGAAUAAAUCUGGGGCAAAAUGAAGGAUGCAAAGAAAAUGGCCUUGUAACAAUAUAUUUAUGGCUUCAUUGCUGUGUAAUCAGUUGUUAUCCACCUUAGGUGUUUGUAAACAAAAUCUUCUAUUUUACUGGGCCCUGGGCAACUGUGAAAAGUGAGGGGUUUAUUUAUUAGACUGUGGUGAACUGAAAUCACAAUUUCAUUUAUUAGGGCAAGUUAGAAAGAGCUGAUUUGGACGUUUUUUCCCUGUCGCCUCUAAUUUGGCCUUGAAUUGCCAAUAUGCCACAAAUCACUGCUUAGUAAAUAAACCCCUGUGACUUUCUGUGAGUGUACUUUAUUCAAUAGUACACCAUCAUAGCAUACAAAUUAAGGCUCCUGUUUUAAGUAAACACAUAUCUUGCACUGUAAUGUUUUGUUUUGUUUUAUUGCCCAUGUAUGUCUUUAGCAAUCUGUACCUAUCAUGCUAUCAUUAGUUAGUUGAGGGGAGCAAUAGCUGAAUGUCAUGUUUGUGAAUGAAAUAGGAUUAGCUGUUUUAGAAAAAAACCUUGAAGAAACAGUGUAGGCAUCAUAACCAUUAAACAGAGUAGUUACGGCUCUAUUAGGCUGCAGGUGUUAACAUAUAGACAAAAUCAAUACUUCUAAUGCAAAAGUUGAACUUCCGCAUUAGAAAUAGGUGAACAGGGGGCCAUGCUGCUUGUGCCCUGGUACUACUGGUUUGGUCAAACUGCUUGAUAAAGCUUAGUUCAAAAGAGAGCUAACGAAAGCUCCUGAUAGGUGCUCACAGCUCUCAUUGGAUUAAAGUAACUGGUACCCAUAAGGAGCCCAGGCAAGAGGUCAAACUGUUAGCAAAUAGCAAACAUGGGAAUGGGAAGGGGGGAGGGGAGCCAGGGCUCUCCUGUCAACAUAGCCACUAUAGUGAUAAUUGAGUUUUAAGUGUUCCAUUACAUUUUAUCUCUACUGUUUCAUCAGUUCAAUAAUGCUCUGUUAAUUAUUACAUGCAAAUAGUAUACUAUGGUAAGAAUGUUAAAGCAAAAAAAAUAAUUGUGUAUGAAACAUUUACAUUCAUAUAUAACGUGUGGUUUCAUUUGACAUUUCCGUCUCUAGUAAAUAAAAGGUGGGAAACAACAAUUGGAAGUGGUUUACAUACCAUGCUGCAGCUUAUUCAAUCAAUUCUAUUUGCUUUUAUAUUAAUUUGAUCAGGUUAACCUAAUUUGCACACAGACGAAAGGUUGUCCCAAUGUGAGGAUAAUGUCACGAUUAAUUCUAGUUCUGGAAUUUCAGGAAAGUUCUAAAUGCAUAUUUCAUUCUCAUGAGUCUACUCAGAAGCCAAAACAAUUGGAUGAAUUAGCAAACACACAGUAUAUCCAUUUUAGCCAUAGUUAUUGUAUGUACCCUCUCUGGAGGAAGAACCAGCCAAAUUAAGCAUGGGCGCUGGUAGGAGGUAUAUUAACAAUUCAAUACAUAGCCCUCUCUUUCUUUUAAUUUUUGCCUUUACCAAAUACAGACUAAAUAUCUUAAAUGUGUAUUUUUGUUAUAAGCUAAUCUUUCAUGCAAACAAGUCAAUUCCAUUCAUUAAGAAUGGAAGAAAUCUGACACUACUUAUUAAAGCGGCUGUAUCACCUUCUGGGGUCUUUGCAUAUUUUGCAAAUGCCCCAGGUGGUAACUGCUCCACUUGCAUGACGGUGGCUGCAGGGUGCAGGGCAAGGUCAUUAUUACUUAUCUGAACCUUCAGGAGCUGAGAUUUGCUAGAGUACAACACUGAUGUUUAUGGAGAAUCUCACAGGAGCCUUUUCCCUCUCAGCCAUCACUAAAGGCUUGACAAAAGUUAGCUCUGUUUUUGUCAAGUGUAGGAAAAAUACAUAACACAAAUUAGUCACUCCAAAAUAGUCUUUAUCAGCAUUUCAUAAAUAUUUAUGCCUCUGGUAAGUCACUGAAGGGGUUUUCACCCCUUCAGCAACCGGGGAUUGGGGGGUGGGAGGGAGAGGGGACCUGCAGUGCCAGGAAAACAUAGAAACAUAGAAUGUGACGGCAGAUAAGAACCAUUCGGCCCAUCUAGUCUGCCCAAUUUUCUAAAUACUUUCAUUAGUCCCUAGUCUUAUCUUAUAGUUAGGAUAGCCUUAUGCCUAUUCCACGCAUGCUUAAACUCCUUUACUGUGUAGUACCUGGGGAGCUGGGGGGGUGCCGUUGAUGUGGAGCAAGACGCAGCAGCAGAAGAGGACUCAGCCGAGGAGGUUAUGGAAGAGGAUGGAGUAGGAGGAGUAGAGGAGGUGGCAGCAGGCCUGCCUGCAAGUCGUGGCGGUGUCACCAACUCCUCUGCAGAGCCAGGCAUUCCAUGCUUGGCAGCCGUCAGCAGGUUAAAAUCUCAUUGUACCAAUUUCUCAGUAACAGCGACUAAAUCUACACUAUCAGUUGCCAUUAUUGCCACAAGUUCAUGGAUCUUAUUCCCUAAACUGCGAGUAUUUGUAGACAUGACUCUAAGCUUAUCAUUUUUUAACACACUUGCUACAGGCACCUUCUGUCCUUGUUUUGGGGGACAAUUGGAUUGAUGUUUUAUCACCCUUUUGCCCCCCCCUCCUAGUUUAAAUACAUCCUAGCAAAACCUCUGAAUUGCUCACUGAGAACAUUUGUUCCCUUUUGAGAAAGAUGCAAACCAUCUUUUUUGUACAGCUUAUCUCCAUUCCAAACAGAGCUACCAUGAGAAAUAAAGCCAAAUUUAAAACAAAACAUUUCAAUGCCAGCCACGUCUAUUCUCAGUUUAGUGGGAUGCUGACUUUGCUAGGCAACAACUGGAGUAUCUCAUUUGAUGCCCUUGAAUAGGAAAUCCAAAUUGAGCCAUUAUUUCACCUGAGAAAAACAGAAUUUGGUUCAUUUUAACAAUAGAGUUAUGGGAUGAAUGUAGCUGCUACUUGUUGCUCCUGUCCUGUCCUCAAGUGAAAGCUAAAGAAUAGACAAAUUGCUUGCUACUUUUUGGAACAGUAAAUGGUAUACUCAUUAGGUGUGCAUUCACUGUGAAUGAUAAAUCUCUGAGAGUCGAUCGGGGGAUGUUUUGUUCUGCAGAGUGAGUCAUGUGAACUUCCUGAAUGUUCUUGUUAAUACUAAUAAUAAACACAUAGACCAUGAAUACCAUAGUCAAUUUUAUCACAUUAAAGGGAAACGGUCACUUUUCUGGAACUUACAGCUUUGUAUAAAACACAGAAAAUUACCUAUACCUUGUAUUAAAGGAGCACUCCACUGCUAUCUAGUAAAAAAAUAAAAGACCACUGUUUAGUAGAUAUACGCACAAUGCACACAUGCAUUAAUUUUCAUGCAUGUAUUCAUUGAGGGUAUAUCUUAGCAAAGGCUGCAGUUCUUAUGAACUGUGCGCGUGCCUGUCUGCAACAGAGGAUCUUGUCUGAGGUAUGUGAGGGAGGAGGAGGCAGGCACGCUCAAGUAGAUCGUGGCUGCCACUUCCGUUAGCUAACGAAAGUAGGAAAGAAUACUCCCUGGCUAUUUGAUUGACAGCCAGGGGGGAGUUCCCUUGUUAAUUUAUAAAAGUACUGAUUUCUCAGAGAAAUCAGCACUUUUAUAAACUGGGGUUAAACUAGGGUACUCCUGACCCAAGCUGAAGUGCUUUUGGGGUGUGGAGUGGUCCUUUAAGCUUUUGUUUCAUAAACACUUGUGUUUUCUUUUACAUUUUUAUUAUAUAUUUAGCAAAUUACAUCAUAAUCCAGUUCAGAUAAGGUAAAUAUUACAAAUGAAGAGGAUAAAAAGAAAUAGUUUCUUUUAUCCACUUCCCUGUAUGUUUUUUCUGUGCUGACUGCCAGGUCAGACCUUGUAACAAUGAUUGACAGGGAGACACACAAUUACAGGAUAAAGAACUGUGGAUUUUGUUUAAUUUAAUUUUCACAUCUAACCUUCUGAGAUUAAUUUUAGUUAUCUGCCUUUUAUACAAGAAUUCCUGGUAGUGGAUUUUUCUUAAUUUUUUGAAUAGGUUUUUAGUUUAAUAUAAGAGCUAAAAAUGCAACAAAUAGACAUUUUUUUAUUAUUUUUUUUAAUUCUUUAUUUUUGUUGUGCACAAUAGUAACAAGUAGCCCUGGUGCGCCCAACAGCCACAUCAGGAUAGGUUGGAAAACAUUUGCAAUACAGGUUGUGACAUAUGCUAGUCAGGCACAUAUUUUAGGUUAUUAGGAUUAUUAUUUAAACAGUUUAAUUCUCACUUGUGUAAAUAUAAAACAUCAUUAAAACAAAAUUGAGGCAUCGCUUGGAACAGCAAUAAAUGUUGUACCAAAAUACUAAUUCGUAGCUCAGGCUAUUGCGAUUAGACUAUUUUGCUGCUGGGUAUGUGGUAACAUGCUAAUCUGCUGCACCUUAACUACAAGUGGACACAAAGGUGAUUAUGAAUCACAGAUGAGAGCUUAGACUAUCUGGUCCUGAACUAAACAAAAAAUAACAAGAGGUAGUCUAUGGCAUACUUUACGGCAUCUCUGUGUAGCUAGGCUAUAUGUUUGGCCAGCAUUGUCCACUUAAAACACUUAGUCUAUGCAAUGAUAUUUAUAUUUACGAGUUGUGGGUAGUCCAUAUGUCAAUAGUUGUUGCCGGCUGUGAACGUGCCCUCCAGAUGCAAGUGUGGCAUGUUUACUUGAGAGGCACAGAGGUAGGCUCCUUGAAGGCGUCCCCGAACUGGGGCCCAGCUCCAGUGGUGUUCAGUGGGGUGUUCAGCCGUGCAGCUCCCCGGUUUGCAGUUGUGACUUGGAGGGAUGGAGGUGAGCUUUGCUGGACGCUGUUUCCUGGAGCCGUUCAGUAGCUUAUGUGGGAGGCUGGUUUGGUAGUCUCGUUCUCGUGAGUGUGGGGACCAGUGUGUUCGCUCCUGUAGCAUGGUGGCCAUUUCCACCUGUGGGCUCGUCGGUGUUUGCAGGGUCUGUUUGCAGGGUCUACAAGCAACUGUUCUGGUUGCUUGUAGUGGAUACCUAUAAUGGCGCCGCCCGGUCACUGGACGGAGCCAUGUGGCCACUAGUUUCACCGCUAGAAAAACCUUCUAUACCUCUGACUCUCAAAUCAGGGUAAAUAAAGAAAAAUAACAAACCCAUCUCUACACUAAGGGUAAAGGAAAAACCCGUAACUGAAAAUUCUGCGGCUCGCGCAGAAUCGGUCGAAUUCCCCCAGGGGGUUCGAGGUUGGUUGAGCGUGUGUGCUUUGUUUUGGGGCCUUCGCUGGGCGGCCAUCUGUUUCCCAGUGACCCGAUGAGUACUGGUGCUGUUCUGGCUGUGUUGGACAGUCACCUCUGUAGUUGAUUCGCUGUGUUCCAGGCUUUAGUUGCCAGGAUAUCCCUCUCCGGCAGGGGGGGGGGAGGAAAUAUGCCGGGGAGACCUCCAGGUAAGUGGUUGUAGUCUAUCGCUUUGUCUGGGUAGGCCUCUAGUAGGCCUCUGGUCGAUCCCCGGUUUGGAGCCUCCGAUUUUGGUCGGGAUGCUUGUUGCUUGGUUCUGCAGUGUUAGGGCUCCCUUCUCCAGGUCGCUUAGUUGUCAAUUUGGUGAGUUUGUGCCCUGAUUCUGGCAGUUUAAGAGAGCUUUUGCAAGGAGCUCAUCUCCAGUGCGACCGCUCAGCAUGGCAGCUUAGCUCCGCCCCACAAAUAGACAUUUUUAAUACAUUUUUAUUUCAUGAAAAAACGAUUACAUCUGUGUAUUUUUUUUUAGGAUUCUGUAACCAGCUUUGCACAUCUGGAACCUGCAAGGUCUGUUCAUUCUUGUCAAAGUCGCUCUAAUCCUUAGGUGGGCACUAUUGGUGAAUACCGUAGAACAUUUUAUGACUAGCUAUAUAUUCUGAUUAAGCUGUGUGGUUUCACUAGGCUAUUAUAAGACAAUUCAGUUACUGUUUUGAUACUAUUCUAUUGGUUUUAGGUAAUAUCCCUACUGAGACAUGUUUUCCUCAAUAGACUUGUGUAUAAUGCAAGUGGCAGGUAACUGGACAAACUUUAGGUGCUGGAAGUAACCUGUUUUUUUUUCCUGCAAACUAAUCCUAUUUGACAAAAAAGGAGAAAAGCACUCAAAGACUCUUUACACCCAACAUAACUUGUAAAGCUCCCAGUUAUGGUUAUGGUACAUUGGUAGAACAAUACCUGCAAAGAAGAACUGAGGGCCUAAUUAGUGACACCCAUACAAUUCUAGCAAGGUAAAUGUUGGAGUUCUUUGUUGCAUUUAAAACAUGAGAGAUAUAUCAUAUAGUAGAUUUGAAUGUGCUUUUAUGCAUCUGAUCAUAAAUAACAUAUUUUCUAGCAUCACAAUGCCAUUCAAGCAUGAUUGUAUAGUUAAAUAGAAGGAAAAUGUAUGGAAGGAAACAAAGGUAAAAUAAUUAAUUAAAGACUGACGCAGAGGAGAAAGGAAUGGAACAGAAGGUGGAGGAACAUUGAAUAAUUUUGAUGUUAUUCUAGUUAUAAAGUGGACCUAUAAAAACAUACAAGUGAUAUCAGCCAACAAAUAUUAUCAAACAACUAAAUAUUAGCUCUUUGAUUUAUAAUAUAAAUAAAAUAUUUAUAUUUUCCUCUUUUUGUAUAAUGCCAGUCUCAUAGGAGAGGAUCCUGGACCUUUCACCUGCCUGCAAGCCCUAAACACUGCUGAAGCAGACACACGUUUGUGUGUUAGUGUUUAUAAGAGUCUUCUUUUUUAAGAUUCUCUUCUUUUUUAAGAUUAAAUAAGAUUUAUAUUUUAUAAGAUUCUAGCUUAGCAUCUGAACUCCACAAUCAGCUUAAUAUGUCUCAUCCACAACCUUCUGGCACUUGUUUCGUACCUGAUUAUGAGGAACAACAGCAUUUUAAAUUUUCACCCAUAAUACAUAAUACAUUGAAUUGUUUCAUAUAAUAGCAUACCCAUAUAAGCACUGUUUAAUUGGUGUAAUGGUGUCUCUAAAACAACUGUCAUUGACAUAGAGACUCCGUUUCAUGUUACAGAGCAUUGUCUAAAUAGACAUUAGCUUUAUAGAUUUCUUCUCUUUAGAACUUGUACUGUUAAUGUUCCUUUUUGUAAUUUAUGUGACACUCACGACACUCAUGUUCACACGUUCAGAAGCAUACAGGCAUAUACAUAUUUUAGAUGACAGGUGCCCAAAAGGUAGAACUACAGCUUCCAUGAUGCUUUGCAUGCCUUUAGAAUGACAAAGAUCCAUGGAAGCUGUCGUUUUAAAACAUCUGGGGAUUUAACUUUUGGAGUGUUUUCCUAUACAUAUUUGUAUUAGAGCAGCGUUUCACAAACCAGUACUCACGACCCAUCAACAGUCCAGGUUUUGUUAGUAUUCCCAUUGAAAUAAAACAGGGAAAUAUGAAAAAUCCUAAACUGUUGGUGGGCCAUGAGGACUGGUUUGGGAACCACUGUAUUAGAGUAUGAGUGUUUGUAUAUCUGAGUGUUUCUUCGUAUGCAUGAUCCAUUUCUGUCUAUACACAUACUCAAGGGUGCAUGUAAACAAAGAAAGGCUCAAAAAUAAAUGCUCAAAGAUACAAAAAUACACAGACUAACAUGUAUAUAUCGCACAUGCAAAGAAAACCACACAGAUACACACAGAGCCUUACAUUCAUGCAUACAAAUGGAAACACACAGAUGCAAGCAUACAGAAAAUUUACUGGCAGGCCUAUUCUUUAAAGUUAGAAUUCAAAGUGAAUUUCAAACUUAAAGCAACACCAUAGCGUCCGGAUCACUAACAUGUAUUUCUGACCCUAUAGUGUUAAAAAUACUAAACCUUAAAUAUAGUAAAAGCUCACCUUAUUUCUGAGUUGCCUACUUUGUCUCAGUAUAUCUCUUGACUGGGUUGGAAUUUAAGUGAAAUUUCAACACAGUUAAUAUGAGUAUUUUAGAAAUAUAUCUUUAUCAAAUACCCAUUUUCUUUUAGGGAGGGUAGGGGUGACAGUGUCACCUUGAAUUGGAAAUUAACUUUGAAUUCUCCCCAUUGUAAGUAGGUCUUGCAUGUAAAUUCAAAAAGAUAAACAUUGUAGGAAUUAUAUAGGUGGUGAGCAUUCUCUAUAAGUAUACCUUUUUGGAAGGGUGCAAGUAACCUCAGGAUCCUUAUUUCAUAUGUAGUGUAAAUAAAAUAUGAUGGUCCAGCACACCUUCUUAGUAGCUGCAAGCAUUUAUUUUCAGUGCAUAGGUAAAAAUGUUCCAGCUAACAUAACCUGUAGUGGUUAUGGUCAUAAGACAGCCCAUUUAAUACAGUAAAAGAGCAGUCUAAGAAUUCUACGGACUCAAUUAUAUCUAUUUAUUGUAAGUAUUAUUAAUUUAUGUCACACCAGCACAUUAUGAAGCUUAUAAUGCAUAUUACAUAGCUCAAUUUUAUAGAUUGAGACUGAUUCAUAAUGCACUGCAGAAAAGCUUUAAAAUCAUAACAAAUCAUUAGUAAAACCGAUCUAUGACCUGAACAAAUCGGUUUUUCAGUUGAUGGUCAGCAUUCUUCGUGCAUGUGUUCACAAUUACAAAAUGUCAGAUAAGUAACACAAUAAUGCCAAAGCAAAAGCACUAAGUAUACGCGACAGCUACCAAACAGAGUCAUUAUGUGAUCUCUUGUACCAAUAUGAACUGAGAUUCAUCCGUUUGUUUAAUUUAUACUUCUUAAUUCACUCUCACUGCAGUUUUUGUUCACUCCUGGUCUUUAUCGAGAUUUUCUAAAUAACAGUACAUCUGUGAUUGUAAUUACGAGCAUGAGAUGUUAUGACAUUUGUGAAACUGAAAAGUGACAGGAUUUUCCACAGCAUAAGACAAAAACAUCUAGAAACAUAAAAAAAAAGACUCUCUUUGUCUGAAUCAAUCAUAUUUGUAUGUAUUGUCAUAUAUAAAUAUAUAUAUAUUUUUUUUUAUAAGUGGUAAUCUAAGUGACUUUAAACAUGGAACUGUCAUAGAAUGCUACCAUCUUCCACAAAACAGUUUGUGAAAUUUCUGACCUAGCCAUUCUAAAAACACCCUGAAAAGGCAGUUGUAUAUUUCCAAGAAAUAAUUGCUUAGAAUUUGAAAGAAAAUCUGAUCUGUUCAAAGGUCAAAAACGGUGAGGCAAAAUAAGUAAAUAAAUACAUUUUGUUAAUUUUGUUUGGAAUGAUCUUAAUGUCUUAAAUGUUAUCCAAUGCAAGGUUACUGGACAGACAGAAAAUAGAUGAGAAAUUUUAAUGAGUUCCCGAUUUUGUUAAAAAUUGAAAAUGGAUCAUAUACCUGGGAAGACCUGUAAUAAUGGGUCCCUCUUGAUAAGUAUGAUAAAAACCAAACAUGUUUUCCAUUAUCUAUCAUGAAACAUAAAUGAGUGAUAUAGCGCUGGAGAGGGAUUAUAUAAUUUUGAAACUAUAGAACAUGUUGAUUUAUACAUUGUAAAGAUUGAAUAUAUAAAAAUAUUCUGUGACAGUGUUUUGUCCUACAUUUUCCCAAAGAUAAAUUAAUAUUUUCACCUGUGUGGCAGAUCUGUCAGGUGUCACUCAUCACCAGUGAUAUUUAAUUAGACAACUCAGUUCACAUUCCAGAGAUCUUAUUGCUUUUAGUCAUACAAUACUGUUUGGGGUCACUGAAUUAAAAUGUACCUUAGUCGAUCAGCCAGACUUAGAUUUCAGAGAUGUAAUAUUGCAGCUAUCUUGGUAGUAACAAAACACUGGCUCCUCAGCACACCAUGGAUCAUCUGACACAUUUAUACAAGUAGACAGGUGUGAUUAACAUAACAUGCAAAAAUGCCUUUAUAAUGCCCAUUUAGCCAACUGCAAAUAAUAUUGUUACAUAACCUUAUAAGUUGAAUGGAGAGUAAGGUCAUUAUUUUUGUUUGUGAAUAACCGGGGGUGAAUAUAAUUUUUAUACAUGUGUUAGUAUCUAUAGUAUUUGGUAAUUAUAUAAUAUAACUAUACUAAUGGGAAUGACUCAGGCUGCAGCCAUGAAUGCAAUCUAUCACAACAAUCACAAACUGUUUUUAUGUGAAGAUUAUUUUUCAUUGCAAUCGUGUACUUCUGGAAAAGCUGUGUAUUGAGAAAUAUAAUCACUUCAGAUUGUGAAUCCCUGUCACUCUGCAUCCAGACAUACUAAACAUCUAUUAUUUGUGCACUGAACACACAAUGUUUCUCUCCUACCAUUUUUGUUCCCGUGCCCAUUCUUUGCCAUAUAUUUCUAAAAAAGAUCUGCCAAAUAAGCUUAGGUGUCACUUUUAGCACCAUCAGAACUUUGCAUAAUUUCAAAUAUGAUGGUGCAAAGAGCAUCCAUAUCCAUAGCUUUGAAAACUCUAAGGCAGCCCCUUAGAGCUGUCAAUCAGGCAGUCCAUAAAUCUCAUUUAAAAGUAAAUUUUACCCAACUUGUAUGUGUGCUUGCCAUAAACACAACUUGAACUUGACUCUCCUCCUUGGAGACGGGGAUAUAAAUAUUUAGUUAUUUUGUUCAUAUUAGGCCAUGUAAGAUGUAAAAUAUGUGAUUCUAAGUCAAAGUUUAUCUGGGAAAGCUCUAAGCUCCCUAGAAGAUUUCUGAUCAUUUCCCAGAAUUUUAAUUUAAUUGAAUCGCAUUCCCACCAUAUAUGGGGGAAAGAUCCGUCUGAUUGAUUACAUCUCCAACAGAUAUUAGUAUUUGAAGUUUAGAUUUUUUUCAAUUUUGUUGGUACCAUAUGCCAUCUUUGUAUAAUUUUAUAUUGGACUUCUGAAAGAUUUAGGCAAUUAAUAUUUUGUUUAAGUUCCAUCAUUAUUUUAUAUCAAUUGCUAAUUUCAAAACUCCUUCCUAUUUCUUUCUCCCAUAUUUGGAAAGCAUUCAGCUUAUUAUCUGUUACAUUAUUUGUAUCUACUAUUCCCAUAGUCAAGAUUUUUGUAAUAUUAUACUCCUCCGUUAAAAGAUUCUGGAGUUGAUUUUCUUUUUCCGAAUAGUUCCCGGUAAUAUUUUGAAUAAUAACGUUUUUAAACUCUUUUUUUUUUCUUUGUUUUAAUAUAUAUAUUUUUGUUUUUUUCUUAAAUAUAGUUAAGUUAACCUGCUAUUAUUUUUAACUACUUAAUAUGUCAUUUUAUUUAACUAUGCUAUGGACUUUCCAAUCUGAAUAUUCUACAAAUAGACUUGUGCUAUUUUAGUAAACUCUUGAAUUGUUUUUUUUUUUGUAGUGCUUAGAUAGACAUACCAACUUUUACUGACAUAUCAUCAAGAGCAAAAGCGACAGAGACAUUAAAUAUAUGUGAUAGGACAUAUCAAGAGACUUACACUUUUUUUCAAGAGAGAAUUUAAAAUCACAAGUGUUUUGCAGUGCAGUGGUACUGUCAUAGAGUGGCAAUGGCAUACAAUGUAAAAACAGAACGAGAGAAAAACAGACGUAUAGCUAAAGCUUGCUAUGCCAUGCUUAACUACACAAUUUUAAAGUAAGAAUAAGAGGAUUCAUGUUGGGCAUACAUGUCUAGGUACAAAUUAAAUUAAAGAUAUGAACUCUUAUGAAAAAAUAAACAGGGUGUAAGUCAAUUGUAUUAUCCAGCUUAAAAAAACAUAGGUAAAUGUUGGCAUAAUAGACUAACGAUUUAUACGACUGAGUGUAUAUAAGCCCCCUGGGGGCCCCGCAGCUCAAUAAGUUGGCAUAGGAGUAAUUUGACUGGGAAUCAGUGGCACUAUGUACAACAGACAGGCACAAAUAAAAAAAUAGGGCACACACAAACAGGUGCAUUUAAAGAGAGGCUUUUAGAUGGGCAGUAAUAUGGCAAUUAUAAAUCAGCCUAUUCCCUCGCUAAGCAAUGGCACAUAGGUGUUGAUCUGUUCACAGGAGCCCCAUGAGAACCACAAAACCACAUCACGCCAGCCCCUGGCCAGGACCUGCACUCCAGCUCCACUGUCCCAGACAUCAACAUUAACUCCUCUGCUGCAAUACCCUCUGUGGGUGUGGGCGUGUAGGGGGGCAUCCACCCCAUUUGGAUCCCAGCCUGGGAAGGUGCUUCUGCUGCCCAGUGACUGAAGUAAAACUCAAUUUUUCCAGCCUGGCAUUCCAAGGGUGCCAGUCUCUGGUUCGUUAAUGAUAGAGGGGUAAGUGUGCAUUUGCUCGCUGAUGCAGCAUGUCCCAGAAGCGCUUUGUAACGGACCGUUUUGCACACAAGGGGUAAAAACCGUUUAGGCAAUCGGCCCCCUUUCCAGAGAUACAGGCACAGCUACUGCAGAACACCAAACUCCCGAACUGGAUACAAAAUAGCACUCCAACUCCCGAACUGGAACCUCCCAAAUAGCUGCUAGCAGACGAACAGGAAAAGCAGGCAAUCAGCUUACACUCCUGGCAAUCAGUCUCUAACAGCAUACAGUGAAUCCCCCCAAGAACGAGACGAGGCUCCGUGUUGAGGGUCAAGCAGUGGUCUGAGGUGCUGGCACACCCAGCCUGGUUUUAUUACAGUCUUGCAAAUACAGGACCGCCCUGUAUUUUAUACCAAGCUUCAGAAGAAAACUCUUGAUUAAACCAUUUCUUUAAAUGAAGAAUCAUAGUUGCAUCAUGGUGUCUUUUAACAAGAGGAAGGUUAAUACCACCUUUUGCCAUAUUUCUUGACAAAAUAGAAGCCGCAAUUCUGUUUUGUUUUUUUUGUUUUUUUUAAAACCCAUAUAUAAUUGUUAAAAAAAUAUUGAACUUCUUUCAACUACUUUUGAGGAAAUGGUACCAUCCUAAAUAAAUUUGUCCAUUUAGUGAGUAUAUAUGUUCUUAUUACAUUUAAUCUUCCCCACCACGAUACUUCUUUGUAUGUCCAUUUGUCAAGGUUUUCUCUGGUUUGAGCUAAUACGUUUUGAAAAUUAUAUUCUAAUAUAUUUUUCGCAUCUGCCAUUAUUUUAAUUCCUAGAUAGUAUAUUGGUCCUAAAGUCCAGUUGAACCCAUAUUUAAAUUUGAAUAAAUUUUCUUUAUUAUUAUUGAUAUUUAAUGGCAUAGCUGAUGUUUUUUCCAUAUUUAAUUUAUAAUUAGAGAGACGGCUGAAUAAUUGUAUUUCUUCUAGCAGAGCAGCUAAAGAAUUUUCUAUAUUGCUCAUAUUUAUCACUAUAAAAUCCACAUAGGAAAAGAGGUUAAACAAUCUACAAUAUGUAGAAAUACCAGUUAUAUAUAUAUUUUAUCUCUUAUUCGUUGUAAAAAGGGUUCUAAAGUUAGCAUAUAUAGAAUAGGAGAUAGAGGACAUCCUUGACGUGUCCCGUUUCUUAUUUUGAACCAUCGAAACAUUAUGUCUGAGCCUAUUAUUCAAGCCAUAGGUAUGGUAUAUAGAGCCAAAAUUUUAUUUAUAAAACAAUCUCCAAAUCCAUAUAAGUUCAACGCUUCAGACAUAAAUUGUCAAAUGACCCUGUUGAACGCUUUUUGUAGCGUCCAAAAACAGGGCCAGUUGGGAAAUGGAAUCUGUUUUAGACACAUCUAAAGAAUCUAUAAGUCUCCUCAUAUUUUGAGUUGAUGAUCUUAAAGCUACAAAUCCUUGGUCUUUAUGGACUAAUAAUGGAACAAUAUCCUUUAUAAGUGAGAUAGGACGAUAAUUGGCUAUUUCAGUUGGAGUCUUAUUUUGUUUAGGGAUUGGAACUAUAUUUGCUUGCAACAUUUGCUCUAGUAGACUAUCCAGUAAUCCUAUUUUGUUGAAUAUUGUUAUCAGAUAUGGACUAAUAUUGUUUUUUGUAGUUUUAUAAAACAAAUUAGAGAAGCCAUCAGGUCCUGGAGCCUUAUUGUUUUUAAACUUCUUUAUUACUGAAUUUACCUCUUCCAGAGGUAUCAGAGUAUUUAUAGAUUUUACUUGGUCUUUUGUUAAUUUGGAUUUAUUUAAAUCUCUUAGAUAUUCUUUAAGAGAGAUGUUACCUAUAUUUACUGGAAUAUUAUAGAGUUUUUGAUAGAAAUCUUUAAAUUCCCCCACUAUUUCAUCUGGGUUAUAAUAUGUUGAAUCCUUACAGAUUAUUUUAAAAAUUCUAAUUUUGGCUGUACUUUGUUUAAGUUUAAAUGUUAAUAGCUUAUUGGCUCUAUUACUUUUAUGAUACCAGUUUUGGGUCAGUUUUUGAAGUUGUUUUUUUUUGGAGUUCUUUAACAGGAUGUUACAUAUUUUAUUUUCUACAACCUCUAUUUUUUUACAUUUUCUAAAGUAGGAUUUUCUUUAUUGCUUCUUGAUAAAUUGUUAAAGCGGCACUGUCAUGCCGAAUCCUGUUUUUUUUUUAACUCCCCUCCGGCCUCCACUACAUCUAACUGACACCCUAGUCACUCCCAAAUGCGCCUAAGCCCCCCACAUUACCUAUUUUUUAUUCCUUAUUUUCUGCCCCGAUCUUGAGUCAAGGCGCCGCCAUCUUUGUGUGGGUAGAUGAAGUCCCUGUGGGACACGUCAUCUGCCCACACUACACAGACUGUAAGAUUCCCGCACAUGCCCAGUGAAACACCUGGACAUGCGAACGGGAAUUUCCUCUAUUCAUUCAUUCAUCAGACAGAUGAAUGAGUGAAUAGAAAUAUCAGCCGAACAAACAAACACUGAGUAUCUGAGUAUCAGUGUUUGUUUGUUCGCUCAGUUUAUUACAAGGAGGGAGCUACCGGCAUGCAGCUCCCUCCUUGUAAUAUGUAACUAUAGAAGCGGCAGGAAGCAGUGCUCCCCACCACUUCAUAAUCCCCCUCCAGGUCCCCCCUCACUCUAUGGGGGUCAAUAUGACCCCCAUAAUAGCACAAGGGAGAUUAAAAUCUCCCCAAUGCCCCUACUCGCUGUACCGGGUGGCGAGUGGAGGCCAUAAUGAUAAUGAGGGGGGGACCUACUGUCCACCCCCCCCUACGGCCCCCACCCCUGGGCGGCGGGUGGGGGCCAUAAUGAUAAUGAGGGGGGGACCUACUGCCCCCCCGGCCCCCACCCCUGAGCGGCGGGUGGGGGCCAUAAUGAUAAUGGGGGGGGACCUACUGUCCUCCCCCCCGGCCCCCACCCCUGCGCGUCGGGUGGGGGCCAUAAUGAUAAUGAGGGGGGGACCUACUGUCCUCCCCCCCGGCCCCCACCCCUGCACGGCGGGUGUGGGCCAUAAUGAUAAUGGAGGGGGGGGACCUACUGCCCCAUUAUGGCCCCCACCCCUGGGCGGCGGGUGGGGGCCAUAAUGAUAAGGAGGGGGGGACCUACUGCCCCCCGGCCACCACCCCUGGGUGGCGGCCAUAAAGAUAAUGGGGGGGACCUACUGUCCUCCCCCCCUGGCCCCCACCCCUGCGCGGCGGGUUGGGGCCAUAAAGAUAAUGAGGGGGGGGCCUACUGUCCUCCCCCCCCGGCCCCCACCCCUGGGCGGCGGGUGGGGGUCCUAAGUCAUUUACCCCCCCCAAGGUGAUUAGGGGUCUCCAAGCCCCUAGUCACCCACCCCCCACCCAAAUAAAAAGUCCCUACCUACCCCCCUCACCCUAAAAAAUAGUGAGGGGGGAAUAAAAUAACUAACCUGUAAAAUAAAAUUAAACUUACCAUUCGACGUCUUCUUUUUUCUCAAAUCUUCAUUUUUCAGCCCCAAAAAAGGCCAAAUAAAAAACCAUUAUAACUGUUGAAUUUAAAACAAAAUAAAAAUCCCGAGAAAGAGAAAGAAGAGAAAGAAACGAACAUACUGUUCUCAUUCAGUUAGAAUGCAAUUCGGCAGUUUCAGCUAAAAUGACAGGAAGCAUCGUGGGAACACAGAGGAAAGGUAAGGAUCAUGGGAAAAUUGCUCUGACCAGCGGAAAUGAAGCACACUUUGCUCCUCCGCUGGUCAGAGCUGGUCAAGCGGAGGAAUCCUCCAUAAGGCAAAGAGUCCCUACUUUGUCUUAUGAUUUUAAAGAAAACUAAAGAAGACAGGAAGAAAAUAAGAACAGAUCCUGAGAGAGGGGGAGAAAAGGAAGAGAUUGAGGAAAGGUAAGUUCGGCAUGACAGUGCCGCUUUAAGUUCGACAUACAAGACAGAGAGAAGAAACUUCAUUUUUAUUUUGAUUUACUUUCAGUUUUAUAAAAUAUCCUCUCAUCACAGAUUUGUAGGCACACCAUGUUAAUAAACUAUUAUCUCUUCUCCACUCUGGUCUAAUGAAUGUUUGUUGCCGAUCAUUAGUUUCCAUUAUCACUCCAUUAUGAUCUGUCCAUGCUAGCUCUUUUAUAUAUAUCUUUUUAAUUUGUUGUAUAAGGGGUGAUCUCCCUAAAAACAAUCUGUUCGGAAAUACGAAUACUGUACCCGAGAGAAAUGUGUAAAAUCUUCCUCAUCAGGAUGUAUAGUUCUCCAUAGAACAUACAAAUUAUAUUCUCCCAAAAGUGACUAAACGUUUCUAGUUUGAUUUUUCAAUUCAAUGGACAAUACCCUUUUCCCUAAAUAUUUCUUAUCCUUUUUUUCAUCCAAUAUCAUAUUAAGAUCUCCAGCCAUUAUUAAUAAACCUUGUGUGACAUUUUCCAAUUUGUUCCAUAUCUUCCUGAGGAGACCAACUGGACCUUUAUUGGGUGCAUAUACGUUAGACCUCAUUUAUUUUGCAGAUCAGUAUAAUAUAUCUGGCUUCAUAGUUGAUCUCUUGAUAGAUAUUUUCGAAAUUUAUAUGAUCAGAUAUUAGAAUUGCGACUCCUUUUUUUAAUCUCUAACUAGAGAGGAAUCUAUAAUAUUGGAAUAUCUAUUUAAUGAGGUCUUUUUCAUAUUUUCUUUAGUCCAGUGUUUCUCUUGCAGGAAUGCCACAUCCACAUGUUCCUUUUUUAGGAAAUCUACCAAAACCAUUAUUGUAUAGACUGUGUUAAAACCCCAAACAUUUAACGUCAACCAUUUAACCAUAUCAUAAUUAACUGUUUCUUUUGAAUUGAGUUUUUAGUGCAUGUGCUGUGCAAGGACAUCAUAUACCAACAAUAAAAAAAACAGUGCAAUACAUGAUGUUAAAAUAUUAGAGCAUGGCUCCCUUCUGCCAUAUCCAAAUAUGUGCCAUCUCCUACCCUAGGCACGCAACAAUGGAUCUAACAUUAUAGAAUUGAAGGUCUGUGAGCCUAUAGCCUUUUACCGGGCUACGACGACUUUAAUUUUAGUGACUCAGGAUUCUGGAGAGGAAGAAAGAGAAGAAAAAAAAUUUGCAAAAGUGUUUUAAUGUUUUAAUAUUAUUUGAUAUAUUUUUUUUAUAUAUGAUAUAUUUUUUGAUAUUUUAAUAUUCUGAAUUUUAUCCAAAAAUAUAACAUUGAUGCCCAUAUUCAUUUAGUCAGAUCAUCUGUUGAAUAUAGGGGCAUAAUUUGGCAAAUUAAAAAAAAAAAACACAAAUUUAUAAAUUCCAAAUUAAAAUGCAAACUGCCAAGUAAUUGCUACGUUGUGAUUAACACUAGUAGCAAUAUAUUAAUGAAAUGAUGAGUUGUUAAUAAGAUUCUGUUCAUAUAUACUCACAAAUAGAAAAGAAAAAUACACUUGUAUCCCUAUCUCAUUGAUUCAGUAGAGCCUAACAAUGUUAUAAUUGGUGUCACUGCAAAGUUAGAAAAAAAUUAUGCUCUCUAACUGCAGUGCAAUUGCACCAUAGCAAACAAUACAAACCACAUCUCCAUUUUCUAUCCAAUAAAUGAUGUUGCAGUUCUACAGGAACAUUUUACUUGUGUAAAUGGUACAUGUACCUUUUCAAUGCACAUGCUGUACUCACAAGAUGGACGUACAGUGCCUUGCAACAGUAUUCACCUCGGCAUUUUUUGCGUUUUGUUGCCUCACAACCUGGAAUUAACAUGGGUUGUUUGAGGAUUUGAUAAUUUAAUUUACAGAACAUGCCCACAACUUUGAAGAUUUUUUUUUUUUUUUUAUUGUGAAGCAAACAACAAAUAGGACAAAAUAACAGAAAAAGUCAAUGUGCAUAACUAUUCACCCCCCUAAAGUCAAUACUUUGUAGAGGCACCCUUUGUGGCAAUCACAGCUCCAAUUCGCUUUAGAUAAGUCUCUAUGAGCUUGCCACAUCUUACCACUGGGAUUUUUGCCCAUUCCUCCUUGCAAAACUGCUCCAGUUGGAUGGUUUGCGCUUGUGAACAGCAAUCUUUAAGUCUGACCAUAGGUUUUUUUUUUUGACCAUGGAUUGAGGUCUGUGCUUUGACUAGGCCAUUCCAACACAUUUACAUGUUUCCCCUUAAAACACUUAAGUGUUGCUUUAGCAGUGUGUUUGGGGUCAUUGUCCUGCUGGAAGAUGAUACUUAGAUCAUGUGGCACUUAGAUUGUGCACAGGUGGACAUCAUCUCACUAGUUAUGUGACUUCUAAAGGUAAUUGGUUGCACCCAAGCUUUUUAUGGGCUUCAUAUCAAAGGGGAUGAAUACAAUUUUCUGUUUCUAAAAAAUAGUUUUAUGUAUAUAUUUUUCUAAUUUCACUUCACCAACUUAGACUUUUGUGUUCUGAUUCAUCACAUAAAAUUCAGAUUAAUAAAACAUUGAACUUAAGGCUGUAAUGUAACUAAAUAGGUAAAAAGUCAAGGGGGUUGGGGGAAUACUUUUGCAAGGCACUGUAUGUUUUUUGUUAAUGUUUCCCUUUUGGAUUUAGUUCAUCUUAGCUGUUUGAAUACUAGAUUUUGUAACAUGCAUUACACUUUUCAGUGUUAAUGAAUAUGUAAAAGUUUGGUUAUCCAUAAUAAUUGAUCAGAUAGACUGUGGGGGUCUUAUCUCUACAUUGAAACCACUCCAAUAAGCUAAAGUGGUUUUGGUGCCUAUAGUAAGGGCCGUAUUUCCCAUCAGGCAUGAGAGGGGUGGCACAGUCCACUGGCCAGCCUAUUCACAUGCCAAGGGAGCCAGCCACUGUAGCAGUGUGUGCAGCGGCAAACUCACUCAAGAAGGAGACUACAGACUUCUUCCUGACAGGCUUCUGAGCUGCUGCACAAAUCGGUGGAAAGGGAGGGGGCCAAACAAAGGCAAUGCAAGUAACAACAAUUGCCCUCUCCUCCCCCUCGCCUUUCUCACGCUCCAUUCCGGCUAGGAUCCAGUGCAUUCGUCAAUGAGUGUGUGUCUGCAUGAGUCUUGGUGUGCAUGUCUGCAUUGGUCAGAGUGUGUGCGAGUCUGCAUGGGUCAGGGAGCGUGUAUUUAUAUUACUGUGUAUAUAUAAGCAGAAUAUAAAAUUACUCUAACACACUUGAAUUAAUAUACAUGUAUAAAUGAAGGGACUGCGAGGGGGCUUGUUGAGAAAACUGGCCUUGGGAUAGCAAGGAGCGUAAAUCUGGCUCUGUCUGUAGUGUCCCUAUAAAAAGGCACAUUAAGGAGUACUUUAGCUCAGUUGAGGGAAUAAAUAGAUCCAAUGGACCAGAAAAAAAGUGCAACAUUUUUUUAUAUACAAAAUACAACCUCUCCAUGUUUCUAGAUGUCCUAGUCAUUUGCUGAAUAAAUUUGGAUUGUAAUGUAAUUUGCUACAUUUAAAUACUUAAAGGAUCACUCUAGUCAAAAUAUAAAAGCAAGAAAGACAGGUCCUCAAGCCUUCUUUCUUGCUUUUAUAUUUACUUCCCCUUAAAAAAAAAAAAAAAAUAGAGUGAUUAUAAGUCUAUUUACUUACCUCCGUUCCAGCUCAGAGCCCUCUUCUAGCCUCACCUCCUUUUUCAUCAAAAUGAUGAAGUAGCAGGUCUCAAUCAGACGUCAUAGCGAUCUGGUGCGCAUGCGCAGCUUCGUGCUGCACCAAUCGCGUUCUUCAUAGAGCGGCAUUGAAUGCUGCCUUAUGAAGACACUCAGCGCUAUACCGCGCAUGUGCGCGAUAUGCGCAGUCGAGAGCUGAGCUGACUGACAGCUCAGCUCGCUGUGUGUGCCCGCCCCCCUUCUACAGCAACCCUCCUAGUGCAAACUUUGUAUGCAAACACUAUAUAUAGAGGUUUCUCUAUAUAUGGUGUUGGCAUACAGACACACUCAUAUUGUUAAACAUAUACACACAAUUUAAAUAAAUAUUGUUAAACACACAUACACACUCUAUUUCUACUUCUUUCUAUUUAUCUUUAUCUAUCUCUAUCUAUCUAUUUCUAUCUAGCUAUCUAGCUAUCUAUUUCUUACUAUCUAUCUAUCUCUAUCUCUAUCUAUUUCUAUCUAUCUCUAUCUAUCGCUCUCUCUAUUUCUUUCUAUCUAUCUCUAUUUAUUUCUAUUUAUCUAUUUCUAUCUAUAUCUAUCUAUUUAUUUCUAGAUAUCUAUUUCUAUCCAUCUCUAUCUAUUUCUUUCUAUCUAUCUAUAUAUUUCUAUCUAUUUCUUUCUAUCUCUCUGUAUCUACACUGCUCAAAAAAUAAAGGGAACACUUAAACAACACAAUGUUACUCCAAGUCAAUCACACUUAUGUGAAAUCAAACUGUCCACUUAGGAAGCAACACUGAGUGACAAUCAAUUUCACAUGCUGUUGUGCAAAUGGGAUAGACAACAGGUGGAAAAUAUAGGCAAUUAGCAAGACACCCCCAAUAAAGGAGUGGUUCUGCAGGUGGUGACCACAGACCACUUCUCAGUUCCUAUGCUUCCUGGCUUAUGUUUUGGUCACUUUUGAAUGCUGGCGGUGCUUUCACUCUAGUGGUAGCAUGAGACGGAGUCUACAACCCACACAAGUGGCUCAGGUAGUGCAGCUCAUCCAGGAUGGCACAUCAAUGCGAGGUGUGGCAAGAAGGUUUGCUGUGUCUGUCAGAGCAUGGAGGCGCUACCAGGAGACAUGCCAGUACAUCAGGAGACGUGGAGGAGGCCAUAUGAGGGCAACAACCCAGCAGCAGGACCGCUACCUCCGCCUUUGUGCAAGGAGGAACAGGAGGAGCACUGCCAGAGCCCUGCAAAAUGACCUCCAGCAGGCCACAAAUGUGCGUGUGUCUGCUCAAACAGUCAGAAACAGACUCCAUAAGGGUGGUAUGAGGGCUCAACGUCCACAGGUGGGGGUUGUGCUUACAGCCCAACACCGUGCAGGACGUUUGGCAUUUGCCAGAGAACACCAAGAUUGGCAAAUUCGCCACUGGAGCCCUGUGCUCUUCACAGAUGAAAGCAGGUUCACACUGAGCACAUGUGACAGACGUGAAAGAGUCUGGAGACGCCGUGGAGAACGUUCUGCUGCCUGCAACAUCCUCCAGCAUGACCGGUUUGGCAGUGGGUCAGUUAAUGGUGUGGGGUGGCAUUUCUUUGGGGGGCCGAACAGCCCUCCAUGUGCUCUCCAGAGGUAGCCUGACUGCCAUUAGGUACCGAGAUGAGAUCCUCAGACCCCUUUUGAGACCAUAUGCUGGUGCGGUUGGCCCUGGGUUCCUCCUAAUGCAAGACAAUGCUAGACCUCAUGUGGCUGGAGUGUGUCAGCAGUUGCUGCAAGACGAAGGCAUUGAUGCUAUGGACUUGCCCGCCCAUUCCCCAGACCUGAAUCCAAUUGAGCACAUCUGGGACAUCAUGUCUCGCUUCAUCCACCAACGUCACAUUGCACCACAGACGAUCCAGGAGUUGGCAGAUGCUUUAGUCCAGGUCUGGGAAGAGAUCCCUCAGGAGACCAUCCACCACCUCAUCAGGAGCCUGCACUGGCAUUGUAGGGAGGUCAUACAGGCAUGUGGAGGCCACACACACUACUUUGACUUGUUUUAAGGACAUCACAUCAAAGUUGGAUCAGCCUGUAGUGUGUUUUUCCACUUUAAUUUUGAGUGUGACUCCAAAUCCAGACCUCCAUGGGUUGAAAAAUUUGAUUUCCAUUUUUUAAUUUUUGUGUGAUUUUGUUGUCAGCACAUUCAUGUAAAGAACAAAGUAUUUCAGAAGAAUAUUUAAUUAAUUCAGAUCUAGGAUGUGUUAUUUUUGUGUUACCUUUAUUUUUUUUGAGCAGUGUAUUUCUUUCUAUCUGUCUAUAUCUAUCUAUCUCUAUCUAUCUAUUUCUAUCUAUAUUUAUCUAUCUAUUUCUAUUUAUUUCUCUCUAUCUAUAUCUAUUUCUCUCUCUCACACUCAUUCUCUCACAGUCACUCACCCACACUCAGUCACCCACACUCAGUCACCCACACUCAGUCACCCACUAACCCUCAGUCACCCACCGACACUCAGUCACCCACACUCAGUCACUCACCCACACUCAGUCAUAAAAUAAGUUUACUUACAGUUUGAAUUCUCCUCUCCUGCUCGGUCUCCGGUCUUCAGCCUGUCAGCACCAGCUGAGAUUGUGUUUGUUGAUGCAGGAGAUCUGAUCUCCCACAAUCCCACGCGGUGCUGACAGCCUGCAGACAGGAUGCUCGUGCACAGUGCUGCCCUGUCUGCUGACAGCACAUCUGAGUGGAUGGAUGCGAAUUACGCAUCCAUCAACUCGGAAAUCCCUCUUGUGGCAGUCUGAGUGACUGCAACUAGAGGUGUUCCUAGCUUUCAAUGUAAACACAGUAUGUUCUCAGAAAAUACAGUGUUUGCAUGAGAAAGGCUGCAGGGAGCUAUAGUUCUCACCUGAACAACCUCAUUAAGCUGAAGUUGUUCAGGUGACUAUAGUGUCCCUUUAAAUAUAUUUACAAGUAGAGAGCUACAUGACAAAUAAGUUAAUUCAGAUUAUAAAAGUGAUUGUCCAUGUUUUAUUCCGAGGUGUAAUUUGUAUAGAAGUAUUUGUUCCCCUUUAACUAAUUCCCAGCAUGAGCUAAAUCUCAGGAUAAUACUCCCAAUUACAAAAUUACACAACUGACCAUAUAUGUGUACAUACACAUAUAUACAUUAUUAUCACACCAUGUGACACUUUCAGUGACUUAUAUUAACAUUCAAUCACAGCAAACACAUCAAUAUUGAUAUAUUCCAUAGUAACCGGAGGAUAUUUUCCAUGUAAUUAUUUCCACACUGAUUAAGUUUAGCUAAUAAAGUAAUAAAACAGUUAAGUUAUACUCACUGAUUUAUUUUUACAUACACUUAUAUAUCUGAAAUUUCACAGUUUAAUGGCAAGUUUUUUUUUAGAGUAUUUUCUUUUCUUUUUUCAAAUAUAAAUGUUCAAUGUCCACCAAGUGUUAUUGGUUAAAAAUGUAAUGAAAUACAAUGAUAUUUGUGGCCAACAGGAUAGCCAUCAUACAUUAAUAUGCUACAUUAAAACAUGUCUCUAUCUGUUGGUCUGCCUGUCAAUUUAAAUAGCACGUAAAUAGAACCAGCAUUUCUGUGUUAAUCACCAUAUUGCUGUAUUAACAAUCUAUGUUAUAAAUAACAGUAUAUUUACCAGACUCAUAAAUUUACAUAUCUGUUUGAAGAACUAGAACCCAAUGAGUCUUAAAAUACAUGAAAUAGCAAAAGUAAGGAUAAAGGUAGAUGAAUGGCACUUUCAACUAAAUGAUCUCUUUUCUUGUCAAUUCUAGAUCAUUUCUGUUUUAGUAAAAAACAGGUCUGUGAUUAUUAAAAAUAAUCUAGCCUGGUUUUAUCUAGACAACGUGUACUGAAUCAUCGAUUGCAAUAAUAUAUAUAUAUAAUAUUAAUAGUUUGCAACUCUUGGUUUCCUUCCAUGGUUAUUUACUAGGUGAAUCAUGAUAAAUAUUUUUUUUAUUUGCACUCCUGUGUAAUCUAAUACCCCCUUAGGAGCAGAAGAAGAAUUCUCUCUGUUAAAUGAUGUAACUUAUUGUCUUUCAGAGAUGUGGUACUGGGUGUUCCUGUGGGCUCUGUUCUCUUCUCUGUUUGUUCACGGAGCAGCGGCAGUUCUGAUGUUUGUAAUGCUACAGAGACACAAACAGGGGAGACUGAUAUCUGUGGUGUUGGUCAGCAUUGGCUUCCUGGCUUCUGUCACUGGAGCAAUGAUAACUAGUAAGUUCUACUUCUCUAAUUCACUCAUUGAUACAUUGUACUAAAAGUGAAUAGUCAUUUUAAAGCCAUAUUUGUGCUUAUGUUCAAGUUUCAAGUUUGUCUUAAGAUGUCUUAAUUUACAGUAUCAUAAUUACAGGUAUCGAUUCCUGUCAAACAACAGCAGACUCGCCAAAAUAUUUACAUUGCAAUGUGCCCAGGUUUCUGUAGAUGCAAACUCUUAAAGAAACACUUCAAACACCAUAACCACUAGUGGUUAUAGUGCCAGGAGUUGCCCAGUCCACCCUUCACAUCCACCCCCCAUCCCCACACACACACACUCAAUUGUAACUGGUCAAAUUGGUUUAUAACAAUUUGACGUUUCAUCUGGGGUCCACAGGGCCAUGCUCUUCACCCAGGGCCAGUGCAAGGAUCUUAGACUACAAAAAUGCAAUCGCAAACUACACACAUAGGUACUGAUAGACAUGCAUCGCCGCCUCCCCUGCUGCCAGAGGGUCCUGCAAGAAAACUCUGGUUAAUGUAACUGAGCUAUGUCUUGCCUAGCUCAUUGGCUAACAGCGCUCACCGGAAGCUCUUAACCAAUGAGCAAGGAUCUACAUGGUGGGGCUUAGCACAGUGGCAGGAGUUUCUGGCAAGUGACUCCUGACAAUUACCCCUGUUCUUAACAAGUAUAGAUCCUGACACUGGCCAGAAUUUCACCCCUUUCCUCCUAAAUUUUGAAUCCCUUAUUUCCAGGCAAUGUGCCUGUAUCUCCCCAAUUCACAUCAUGACAUAUCUUCCCCUAGCAAUUAAAGCAAUUAUCCCCUUCCAAGCUCACUAUCUGCACUUGCUUAAAAUGUUUUGCCGCACCUUCUUCCCUACACAGUUAUAGAGAGUCACACAGAGCACAGUCACAGAUAGGGACACUCAUCCAUAUGCUCCCACAGACAGACACUCUCACAGAUACACACUUAUAGACACACUCACAGAUGCACUCCUAUAGACACAGACACACAAACAGACACUCUCACAGAUACACACUUAUAGACACACUCACAGAUGCACUCCUAUAGACACAGACACACUCACAAAUGCACUCCUAUAGACACAGACACACUCACAGGUACACUCCUAUUGACACACUCUGAAAUACAAAAACUUAUAGACACACUCACAUAUACACUCCUAUAGACACACUCACAAAUAGACAAUUAUAGACACACUCACAGAUGCACUCCUAUAGACACACUCACAGAUACACUCAUAUAGACACACUCACAAAUACACACUUAUAGUCACACUCACAGAUACACUACUAUUGACACGCUCACAGAUACACUACUAUUGACACACUCUGAAAUACAAAAACUUAUAGACACACUCACAAAUACACAAUUAUAGACACACUCACAGAUGCACUCCUAUAGACACACUCACAAAUACAUAAUUAUAAACACACUCACAGAUGCACUCCUAUAGACACACUCACAGAUACACUCCUAUAGACACACUCACAAAUACACAAUUAUAGACACACUCACAGAUGCACUCCUAUAGACACACUCACAGAUACACACUUAUAGACACACUCACAGAUACACUCAUAUAGACACACUCAUAUAGACACAUUCACAAAUACACAAUUAUAGACACACUCACAGAUGCACUCCUAUAGACACACUCACAUAUACACUCAAAUAGACACACUCACAGAUACACUCCUAUAGACACACUCACAAAUGCACACUUAUAGACACACUCACAGAUACACUCACAGAUACACUCAUAUAGACACACUCACAAAUACACUCAUAUAGACACACUCACAGAUGCACUCCUAUAGACACACUCACAUGUACACUCCUAUAGACACAUUCAUAGAUAUACACAGAUGCAUAAAAUUAUACUCAGAUACAGACUUACAAUCAUGCAUGCAGACACACAAUCAGUCACACAACACACUCACAGACCCAGAUACAUACACACAGUAUCAGAUGUGACCCACCCCUCAGAAUCUCUCCAGCACACAGUGUGCACCAAUCUACAGUUCCUACUAAUACCCCUUUCUGAAAGCCCUACACCAUCCCUCACUUCCCAUAUUAUCUAAAAGUCUGCAUGCUGUGGCUAUUCCUACCUAUGGGGAGCUGCAGCCCUUGCGGUACGAUGACACGUGGUACAGUGGGAGGGCUGAUUGAGGGUCAGGGGAUGGGGCUUUGCAGACAGCGGCCAACAAUCUGCUUCAGGGUGGCACAAACCCUCAAGGAGGUCCUGCAGCAUCCAGCUUCGUGUUGGGCUUCAGCAGAGUGACAUAGCACCAGUAGGCUGUCUAGAACCAUAAGUAUAGAACUUCAUAAGGCGGGCAGACAGAAAUUGUUCUGCAGGAAAUAUUUACAAAUCCAAGUCUCUGGCAGGGGCCGGGGAUUUGGAUUUUUGCACCCGCUGUGGCGUCCUAAGACGGCUGCCUGGAAGCCUUGUGGAUACGCUGGCCCUGUCUUCAUUCAAAAACCAACACUACACAUAAAUAGAUGCUUAAAUUCAAACGCCAACACCACAUAUAAACAUAUUCCAUACAAAAAAAUAGAUUCACAACUGAACGAUGGAUAAACACCAAUAAAUGGUAGAAUAUCCCUCUAGAGUUAAAUAUCGAGAUUGGAUAUGACUACCAUAACCACUGUAUCGCUUGUAAAAAUAACCACCACCAGGGGUUAAAGGUAUAAAAAAUCUUGAAUACUUAUUGAAAUAAAUCAAUAAUAUAUACAGGAUACAGUGGAGAUGGAAAUACAUAUUGCAAGUCAAAGAAUUAAAAAUGUGUUCAAUUCCUCUUUAAAUGUGGAUGUAUCAGCUAGUCAGAUCUUUACCUCCUAUAGUAUAAGGUAGGUAGAAUCCACAGGCUGCUGAAAUAUUGAUCUAGUAUAGGUUUCCGGACUGAUAGAGUACAGAACCAAUAUACAAAAUAUUAUAGUUGAAUCCCAUUAAGGGUUAAAAUCUUAAUAGUAAAGUCUAUUAUACAGUGCAGCAGAAAGAGUACUAUUUAAAAAUGUAUUAGUACAUGUAAACUGUCGACAAAAACACAUAGAUAUAUAAAAGACUAAUAAGUUAAACAGUCCCAAAUAAGAGUAGCAAAUAGAAGUAGCAAUAGUACCAGGUAUUGCAGACUUGGGGUCCAAAGAUGUUAAAAUCACUCUCUUGCCGGCCGGAUAAAAGUGAACUAGGACCUCCUCGUGCUGGAAUGACACUGGAUUCUGGCCACAUGCGUUCCACUGCGGCUCUGGAUGCGUUUCAAAAGUGCUUGCUCUCAGGAACCGAUGUGUACCGAUGUGAAGAUGCCGUCUUCCGCGUUUCGUGAUCACAGAUCACUUCCUCUGAUGAAGUGAAUAUGUAAUAUAUAAGAGAUCGAAAUAGAUAGCACAAAAAAUCAUGUAAGGACAUAAUGGAAAAUAAAUUACAUUUAAAGAUAAAACUAAAUAUAAGUGUAAUCUGCGGAUGAAAUAGAAGGAGAUGGUCUCUAAUAAGAGAGUAAAAAUAUAGUACUAGGAGUAUCUUACCAAUGUGUACAUACACAAAUAAUAUUGAAAUUGGUAAUAAAAUUAUUUUGGGCUAAUAUUGAAAUGGUAAUUGGAUAAAUAAUACACAUAAAUAAAAUCCUAGUAUAGUCAAUAGGAUUAUAGAAAUGGGGUGAAAUGACGAUAAGGUGCCUGGUGUAGAAAUGUUUGAGAGGAGUGGUACAAAUGUGCAUAUUUGGUAAAGAUGGAUAGAUCAUAGGUAAAAAAAUCAGUAAAAAAAUAGUAUAAUGUGUGAGACCUACAUAGACUGGUGACCAAAAACAUGGAAUGGGCUCUCUAGAAUGUGGAUAAUGGAGGAGGCAUAACUCUAUGCAGUGAGGUGGCCAUACCAAGAAGACAUACUUUAGAAGAACAGGGUCUUAGAUGUAGGACAUGUAGUCUAGCAUGGUAAAAUAGAUAUAAAAUCGUAGUAUAGAAAUAAUAUAUUUGUAGAGGAUGUGAGGGUGUCUAUGGAAUAAUGCACAUGGUAGGAUCUUAUGUAUGUGUGUAUGAGGGAGCGUGGGUAUGUAUGUUUGCAUAAGAGAGUGAGUAUGACUGUAUGUAUGUGUGUAUGAGAGAGUGUGGGUAUGACUAUGUAUGUUUGUAUGAGAAACUGUGGGUAUGAUUGUAUGUAUGUGUUUAUGGGACAGUGUGGUUAUGUCUGUAUGUACGCUUGUAUAAAAGGGUGUGAGCAUGACUGUGUGCAUGAGAGCGUGUGGCUAUGACUCGAUGUAUGUUUGUAUGAGAAAUAGUGAGUAUGCCUGUAUGUAUGUGUGUAUGGGAGAGUGUAAUUAUGAUAUUUGUGUGAUUUAUAUUAAAGAAGUGGGGUAGGAGCAUAUACACUGUAAAAUAUGUUAGUCCUUUAUAAAUGCCUCUAAUAAUAUUAAUAUGUAAUUCAUACUAGGAGGUGCUCUAGAUAUGUACAAUGUAUUGGUGCAUGUGUCAUCCAUACUAAAAGACUGCUACAAAUAGUAUAAAUGACACAGUCUCUACAUCUCGGAAAGGAGUCAUUAUUGAAGUGUGGAUAUAGUGGUAGAUACCAGAAAAGUAGAUCCCAUGUCACUCAAGUUUGCCCACUCCUACUCUAGGCACUAUAACCACUUCAUUGCAUUGACUCCUGUUACAAUCACUCAGUUCAGUGUUAACCCACUUUCAAACAGUUUAACAAUGACCAAGGAUCCCUUGCAAUCCGCAGUAUGGCCGAUGCUAGAAGUAUGGCUAAUGAAGAGAUUACCCUCCAUCUUCGUUAUACCUAGUCAUAUUUGCAAUGGGCAGCUGUAACAGGCUAUGAGUGGUCAGCUGAUGCUCUUAACCAAUCAGUACUGCCCGUUUUUGCUCGAGCCAAUGCACAAUUAUUAGCAAUAGCAGCAUUGGGACGGGCUGUGGGUGCCUGGGGAACCUCCUUCAAUGUAAAAAAUAAAAUUGUUCAAAAAACUGUUUAUUACUGGAGGGAUUGUGCCAAGGAUUUCAAGCACCAUAACCACUUCAAUAAUGAAGUGGGUAUAAUGCAUAGUGCGUCUCUUUAAUUGGCUAUAGAUGUAGUUCACUUAUAGCAGCAAAACAUUUCUGAGAUCACUCAAUUUAGGAAAUGACUCUGUCUUAAACAAAAUUGAAUGAUAAAAGUAAUCUAUUUAUCUGUAAUAAUCGUGUGAUUGGAGAAACCCCUAUGCCCCCUGUGCCCCCAAAAAAUGAAAGAGGGAGUUUUUAAAGGACACUAUAGUGUCAGGAAUACAAACAUGUAAAAAAAUGUAAAAAACGAUUCCCAGCCCUCCUUGGCUCUCCUUAAAAAGUUAAAGAACCUUUUUUGCAAUUCUGUGUGGGUUUGGUUGCAGCCGGCUUCGCCCAUGGCCCGCCUUCUUGGCUGACAUCAUCAUGAACUCAGCCAAUCAAAUUCUUUCCCAUCGGAGAGCAUUGGGAGGCUAUUGUGGAUGUGCGACAAACACCAAUCAGCAUCUCCUCAUAGAGAUGCAGUGAAUCAAUGCAUCUCUAUUGGAAACAUUCAUCACCUCCAUGCAGAGUGUGAAGAUGUUGAAAGUAGGUUCUGCACCCUGUCACUAGAGGUGUUCUUAGGCAGUAAAGUAAACACUGCCUUUUCCAGCAAAAAGCUUUCAGGGAUAUACUAUACACACCAGAACAACUACAUUAAGCUAUACCUUUAAAUGGUAUUCCGUCUAUCCUUUCAAGCAUGAAGUACAUCAAUGACAUGUUAGAAAUCUCUAUAGGACGGACAAGCAGGGUAAAACUCCAAUGAUGGAGUUUAAAAUGCAUUUGGACUCUAUAAGUACCUGUAAGUAGCUUUGAUUGGCAGCAGUUGCUUCACCACUGCUUCACUGCUAUAGUCUCACACAUGUGAGAGUACAAAAUGGGCAAAGAUCUAACAAGAUAUUGUUGAUAUCAGUGAGAUCCUCCCAAAUGUCUUUAUGCUUGCAAACCAUGUUAACAAUUCCAGAUAUUGAUGGAAUACAAAUUAUGGAAUUGCUUUCAGUGUCUUUUUUUAUUACAAUGCUAGAAGAAACUAGUCCUUAUUUUGUAUUGUCAAUGUAUUUUUAACCCAGUGAACAAAGUAUUUUUAACCCAGUGAACUCAAUAAGCUGGCAGUGUUUAAUAAAUAACUACUUAGUUAUAAAAGCUACCACUUAUUAUAAUUGACUUUAAUGUUCUUGACUUAGAAAAAUACAUCUUAACUUAGGUGCACCAAUGGGGGUUAAUUAGAACAUGAUGCAACAUUAAGGUUCAUAGGAUAAAAUCCUAGUAUUGUUUUUUUUUUUUUUAAAGGGACACUCCUGACCCCUAAAGCUUGCUGAAAUACUUUUAUCUAUUAAUAGUGUGUCCUCAUUUUUUCAUUUAUAAAAAGUGGCGAUUUCAACAGAAAUUGGCAUUUUAAUAAAUUUACCAUGUUACACCCCAACUUGUGCCUCCCUCCUGCUGUCAGAGAACCUGUCCUGUUACUUUUUGGUUUGGUGAGCUCAGUUAAGCUAAACUGAAAGGACCACUAUAGUGCCAGCAAAACAUACUCGUUUUCCUGGCACUAUAGUGCCCUGAGGGUGCCCCCACCCUCAGGGACCCCCUCCCGCCCGGCUCUGGAAGGGGGAAAGGGGUAAAAACUUACCUUUUUUCCAGCGCUGGGCGGGGCGCUCUCCUCCUCCUCUCCGCCUCCGAUCCGCCCCGUCGGCUGAAUGCACACGCGUGGCAAGAGCUGCACGCGCAUUCAGCCGGUCGCAUAGGAAAGCAUUAUCGAUGCUUUCCUAUGGACGCUGGCGUGCUCUCACUGUGAAAAUCACAGUGAGAAGCACGCAAGCGCCUCUAGCGCUUUGGGGGAAGCGCUAGAGGCUUUGGGGGAAGGCUUAACCCAUUGAUAAACAUAGCAGUUUCUCUGAAACUGCUAUGUUUAUAAAACAAUGGGUUAAUCCUAGCUGGACCAGGCACCCAGACCACCUCAUUAAGCUGAAGUGGUCUGGGUGCCUAGAGUGGUCCUUGAAGAGGUACCAACUGUCCAAAGCACCUGCCUUGCAAAAACUUCUCAUUGAGCUGCAUGGGAAAGUCUGUUAUUGGACAUCCACAGAAAGCCUGAGCUGGGUUAGAAGGGGAGAGUUUGCAAAGUCUUCAGACAACCCUCAAAACCCUAAAAAUUUUGCAAGCUGUUUUUAGAUAUAGCCCCAAUUAAAAAAAGCAUAAGUGCAUGCAUGUUUUCUUUUGGGAUAUAUCUACUAAUCAGUGAUUUUUCAAUUAUUUUGUUAUUUUUAUUUUGACUGUGGAGUGUCCAUUUAAUAUGCACUCAUUGGUCAUUCUAGUAGGUACACCUUCACACCUGCUUGUGAGCAGCAGUUCUGUGAGCAGAAAUGUCUUGUUAAUGAGAGAGAGGUCUAAGUCCAGUCAUCAGACAGGUUGACACGAGGGUGAGAGUAUUUGAAAUAACUACGUGUCAGAACAGUGCUAUGCAAAGGAGAAUCUCUGAGCACACAAUAUGUUGAACCUUAAAGUGGAUAGGCUACACUAGGUACUUUUCCUGUCAAAUAAGAACAAAAAAACAACCCUGAGGUUGCAUUGGGUACAGAAAAACUGGACAAAGAUUUGAAACAUGUUCUGUCAUAUUUAAAGAUCUGCUAUGGGAUUACUCCCAUUUUUUCUUAAAUCAUCAUCUCUACAUGUAUGGCUGCUGAUCCAUUCCAUAGUCUUUUAAAUUCCAACACAGUCACAUAUCAUUCUAGUUAAUGAGGUACUGAUUAGGGGAUCACCCAAAUCUUGUUUAAUGAAGAACAGGCCCAUCGCUACUGGACAGGCAAAUCAAGCAACUGUUUGUGGCCCGGGGCCUCAAGCAGAGCCGGUGCUUCCUAUAAAGCUGCAGCCGCCUGAGCGCUCUUUAGAGAGCCUCAGGCGGCUGCAGCACUCCUCGUCAUCACCUCCCCUUCCCUGUAGCGUGGCCGAGCUCCUCUUCCUCCUGGAUGACACUGAGUGCUCACUUCCUUUCAGUCCAGCCUGGAACAGGAAACUGAAUCUCCUGUAUGGCGCGGUACCCGGACGGACUGACAGGAGAAAGAGGAGCACGGCCAUGCUACAGCCAGAGAAGGGGAGGUGAGAAGAACAUGGGGGGGGGGGAGUAAGAACAUAGGAAGGGGAGGGAAAUAGAAGGACACUACAGGGAGGGUGAUAGUAAGAAAGGACACAGGGAGGUGGAGGUGGGAGUAAGAAGGACACAGGAGGAAGGGGUGAGGGAGUAAGAAGGACACAGGGAGAGGGAGGGGAGAGUAAGAAGGGACACAGGGAGGUGCAGGAGGAGUAAGAAAAUAAGGAGAGGGAGUAGUAAGAAAGAACAUAUGAGAGGGAGGAGUAAGAAGAACACAGGAGGGAGGGGGUGAGGAGAUGAGAGAAAGAAACACAGGGAGGGAGGUGCGAGGAGAUGAGGAGGAACACAGGGAGAGAGGUGAGGGAGAAGUGGAGAUGAGAGAGAACACAGGAGGGUUAAGGGAGAAUGGGGGGUGAGAAGAGACUGGUAGGGUGGGGAGAGGAAAGACCACUAAGGGGCAAGGCAGGGCUCUAAGCAGUAUUUGCACUGUAAACCUUUUUUAUUUAUAUAAAGUGUGGGUGAACUUAAACUGUGUGGCUAUGCUGUGGUUCCUGUAGGCUUUGCGUGCGUGUGAGGGAUGGGAGAGGGGGGGAGUUGGGAGUAGUGGGUCCUCCAUGUCCAUUUUGCUUGGGGCCCCCAAAAUUCCUUCAAACGACCCUGAUGAAGAAAUAUAUAAAAAUCACUGCAGGAUCAGCACUAUCCUUUUUGCAAUAGGACCAGCUAGAUGACAAAAACAGUGCUAAUAGUACCUCAAACAUUAUUAGAAUUAAAAAAUAUAUAUUGACAUUGCCCAAAGAGGUAAAGAAAAAAGGUUUUGAGUGAGGAAAGGAAAGGUUCAAUACUGGCUUUACUGCCAGAGUGAUACAAUGAGCAUCAUGUUGAUUUCAUGCUGUAAAUUUCAAAGACGGUAGUUCAUAAGAACAAGGAUAAGCAGCAGACAUUGGUGAUAACAAAGUUACAGGCUGGCAGAGGGUGAAAACAACUCUCCACUGACAGGGAUGACUGCCAACUCUUUCGAAUUUCACUCAGCAAUCAAAGGAUGACAUGAAGUGACCUACAAAAAGGAUGACAAAUGGCAGCUGAGGUGAAGUGCACUGUGAAGACGAUUCAAAACAGACUCCUAGGGUCGGAGCUGAAAUUAUGCAAAGGUAGAUAAAGCCCUUCAUCAAUGAGAAGCAAAGAAGAACAAAGCUGAGGUUUGCAUAAUACCAUAACGGUUGGACCAUAGAGGACUGGGGUAAGAUCAUCUUCUCUGAUGAGUCCAGUUUUUAGCUUUGUCCAACACCUGAUCAUCUAAUGGUUAAAUGGAGACCUGGAGAGGCCUACAAGCAACAGUCUCUCACACCCACUGUGAAGUUUGGUGGAGGAUCAGUAAUAAUCUGGGGUGCUUCAGCAAGGAAUUGGGCAGUUUCAUCUUUGUGAAUGAUGCAUAAAUCAAGCCAUGUACAAGGUUGUCUUACACAAAAACAUGCUCCUUUGUGCUCUGACACAACCCCAUUGAAAAAUUCUGGAAUGUGAUCAAGAGGAAGACGGAUGGUCGCCAGGCCAUCAAACAUAGUUAAGCUACUUGAAUUUUUGCAAUAAGACUUGUGGAUUUUUAGAGGCGACCCCUCCUUUUCUUUAAGAUAUGUAGAAGACUUGUAUAUCUCAGGAGAUAGAAAGUAUAUAAUAUAAUGUUGCAUUGAGAAAUUAUAUAUGUUGUAAAUAGAAUAAUAUACUCACAACUACAGAGACUUUGCAAUGGCUAAGUAAAAACAGCUUNNNNNNNNNNNNNNNNNNNNNNNNNNNNNNNNNNNNNNNNNNNNNNNNNNNNNNNNNNNNNNNNNNNNNNNNNNNNNNNNNNNNNNNNNNNNNNNNNNNNAAGGAAACGGAGGGAGGGGGAAGAAAGAAACAGGGAGGGAGGGAGGAAGGGGGAAAAAAGAGGGAGGGAGGAGGGAGAAGGAAACAGGGAGGGAGGGGGAGAGGGAAACAGGGAAGGAGGGGGAAGAAAGAAACAGGGAGGGGGAAGAAAGAAACAGGGAGGGGAGGGGAGGGGGGAAGAAAGAAACUGACAGGGGAGGGGGGAGAAAGAAACUAACAGGGAGGUGGGGGGGAAAGAAACUAACGGGGGGGAGACAUUGACAGGGAGGGGAAUUGACGGGGAGAGAGAAAUUGACAGGGAGGGGGGAGUGACAGGGGAGGGAGGGGGAAUGAGAGUAACAAGGGAGGAGGGGAGAAGAGAGUGACAAGGGAGGGGGGGGAGAUUGACAUCCAUCACACACACACACACAAUCACACACAAUGCACCCCUUACACACAAAGACAAUGAACCCCUUGCACACAGAAAAACACACAAUGCAUUACACACACAAUGCAUUACACACACACACCCAAUGCAACCCUUACACACAAUGCAUCCCUUGCACACACAGAAACACACAAUGCAUUCCUUACACACACUCAAUGCACCCCUUACAGACUCACACACUUCAUCCCUUACAUACACAGAAACACACCUUGCAGCCCUUACACAUACAAACACAGAUUCACACAAUGCAUUCCUACACACAAAUCAGGACAUUCCCUACACACUCCAUCCCCUGUGAACAAACUCAUUGGUGGAAAAUGAAGGUGGACCCUGGGACCCAGACCUUGAGCUGUGUAAAGGGCCCCCAAAAAAUGGAGCUGCUUCUCGUUCUCCCAGAACAUUGAUUUUUGUGACCACAGUUACAACAGCCUCCAGAGAUCCUGUUAUACACCAGACCAGUGGAGCCAGACUGCAGCUAGAGCCCAUCAUCAUCCUCAUCUGCCUGUAAGUAGGUAAUCUAGUAUAUUAUUCGUGGCACUAAUCUCUAAUUUACCUCACAUUAAAGAAACACUAUAGUCCCCAGAACCACUGCACCUUAAUGUAGUGGUCCUGGUGUCUAUAGCCUGUCCCUGCAGGCCUUUUAAUGUAAACACAGCGGCACUGCAGCACUAGCGUUAGUUAACAUGGCAGGUCAUAUGGGUGGGGCAUUGCGAUGUCACGGGGGGGAGGAGGGGGGCGUCAAACUUUACUUUUGCCUAGGGCGGCAAAAAUCCUUGCACCGGCCCUGGCCAGAGCCCUGCAAAAUGACCUACAGCAGGCCACAAAUGUGCGUGUGUCUGCUCAAACAGUCAGAAACAGACUCCAUGAGGGUGGUAUGAGGGCUCAACGUCCACAGGUGGGGGUUGUGCUUACAGCCCAACACCGUGCAGGAUGUUUGGCAUUUGCCAGAGAGCACCAAGAUUGGCAAAUUCGCCACUGGCGCCCUGUGCUCUUCACAGAUGAAAGCAGGUUCACACUGAGCACAUGUAACAGACUUGACAGAGUCUGGAGACGCUGUGGAGAACGUUCUGCUGCCUGCAACAUCCUCCAGCAUGACCGGUUUGGCAGUGGGUCAGUAAUGGUGUGGGGUGGCAUUUCUUUGGGGGGCCGAACAGCCCUCCAUGUGCUAGCCAGAGGUAGCCUGACUGCCAUUAGGUACCGAGAUGAGAUCCUCAGACCCCUUGUGAGACCAUAUGCUGGUGCGGUUGGCCCUGGGUUCCUCCCAAUGCAAGACAAUGCUAGACCUCAUGUCGCUGGAGUGUGUCAGCAGUUCCUGCAAGACGAAGGCAUUGAUGCUAUGGACUUGCCCGCCCAUUCCCCAGACCUGAAUCCAAUUGAGCACAUCUGGGACAUCAUGUCUCGCUUCAUCCACCAACGUCACAUUGCACCACAGACUGUCCAGGAGUUGGCAGAUGCUUUAGUCCAGGUCUGGGAAGAGAUCCCUCAGGAAACCAUCCACCACCUCAUCAGGAGCAUGCACAGGCAUUGUAGGGAGGUCAUACAGGCAUGUGGAGGCCACACACACUACUGAGCCUCAUUUUGACUUGUUUUAAGGACAUCACAUCAAAGUUGGAUCAGCCUGUAGUGUGUUUUUCCACUUUAAUUUUGAGUGUGACUCCAAAUCCAGACCUCCACGGGUUGAAAAAUUUGAUUUCCAUUUUUUUAUUUUUGUGUGAUUUUCUUGUCAGCACAUUCAUGUAAAGAAGAAAGUAUUUCAGAAGAAUAUUUAAUUCAUUCAGAUCUAGGAUGUGUUAUUUUUGUGUUACCUUUAUUUUUUCUGAGCAGUGUAUUUCUUUCUAUCUGUCUAUAUAUAUCUAUCUCUAUCUAUAUCUAUCUAUCUAUCUAUCUAUCUAUUUCUAUUUAUUUCUCUCUAUCUAUAUCUAUUUCUCUCUCUCACACUCAUUCUCUCACAGUCACUCACCCACACUUAGUCACCCACACUCAGUCACCCACUAACCCCCAGUCACCCACCGACACUCAGUCACCCACUCACCAUCGGUCACCCACACUCAGUCACCAACACUCAGUCAGUCAUUCACCCACACUCAGUCAGUGACCCACACUCAGUCACUCACCCACACUCAGUCACUCACUCACCCACCCACACUCAGUCACUCGCCCACCCACACUCAGUCAGUGACCCACACUCAGUCACUCACUCACCCACACUCAGUCAUAAAAUAAGUUUACUUACAGUUUGAAUCCUCCUCUCCUGCUCGGUCUCUGGUCUUCAGCCUGUCAGCACCAGCUGAGACUGUGUUUGUUGAUGCAGGAGAUCUGAUCUCCCACAAUCCCACGUGGUGCUGACAGCCUGCGGACAGGAUGCUCGUGCACAGUGCUGCCCUGUCUGCUGACAGCACAUCUGAGUGGAUGGAUGCGAAUUAUGCAUCCAUCAAUUCGGAAGUCCCUCUGGUGGCAGUCUGAGUGACUGCAACUAGAGGUGUUCCUAGCUUUCAAUGUAAACACUGUAUUUUCUCUGAAAAUACAGUGUUUGCAUGAGAAAGGCUGCAGGGCGCUAUAGUUCUCACCUGAACAACCUCAUUAAGCUGAAGUUGUUCAGGUGACUAUAGUGUCCCUUUAAAUAUAUUUACAAGUAGAGAGCUACAUGACAAAUAAGUUAAUUCAGAUUAUAAAAGUGAUUGUCCAUGUUUUAUUCCGAGGUGUAAUUUGUAUAGAAGUAUUUGUUUCCCUUUAACUAAUUCCCAGCAUGAGCUAAAUCUCAGGAUAAUACUCCCAAUUACAAAAUUACAACACUGACCAUAUAUGUGUACAUACACAUAUAUACAUUAUUAUCACACCAUGGGACACUUUCAGUGACUUAUAUUAACAUUCAAUCACAGCAAACACAUCAAUAUUGAUAUAUUCCAUAUUAACCGGAGGAUAUUUUCCAUGUAAUUAUUUCCACACUGAUUAAGUUUAGCUAAUAAAGUAAUAAAACAGUUAAGUUAUACUCACUGAUUUAUUUUUACAUACACUUAUAUAUCUGAAAUUUCACAGUUUAAUGGCAAGUUUUUUUUUUUUAGAGUAUUUUCUUUUCUUUUUUCAAAUAUAAAUAUUCAAUGUCCACCAAGUGUUAUUGGUUAAAAAUGUAAUGAAAUACAAUGAUAUUUGUGGCCAACAGGAUAGCCAUCAUACAAUAAUAUGCUACAAUAAAACAUGUCUCUAUCUGUUGGUCUGCCUGUCAAUUUAUAUAGCACGUAAAUAGAACCAGCAUCUCUGUGUUAAUCACCAUAUUGCUGUAUUAACAAUCUAUGUUAUAAAUAACAGUAUAUUUACCAGACUCAUAAAUUUACAUAUCUGUUUGAAGAACUAGAAUCCAAUGAGUCUUAAAAUACAUGAAAUAGCAAAAGUAAGGAUAAAGGUAGAUGAAUGGCACUUUCAACUAAAUGAUCUCUUUUCUUGUAAAUUUUAGAUAAUUUCUGGUUUAGUAAAAAACAGGUCUGUGAUUAUUAAAAAUAAUCUAGUCUGGUUUUAUCUAGACAACGCGUACUGAAUCAUCGAUUGAAAUAAUAUAUAUAUAAUAUUAAUAGUUUGCAACUCUUGGUUUCCUUCCAUGGUUAUUUACUAGGUGAAUCAUGAUAAAUAUUUUUUUUACUUGCACUCCUGUGUAAUCUAAUACCCCCUUAGGAGCAGAAGAAGAAUUCUCUCUGUUAAAUGAUGUAACUAAUUGUCUUUCAGAGAUGUGGUACUGGGUGUUCCUGUGGGCUCUGUUCUCUUCUCUGUUUGUUCACGGAGCAGCGGCAGUUCUGAUGUUUGUAAUGCUACAGAGACACAAACAGGGGAGACUGAUAUCUGUGGUGUUGGUCAGCAUUGGCUUCCUGGCUUCUGUCACUGGAGCAAUGAUAACUAGUAAGUUCCACUUCUCUAAUUCAUUCAUUGAUAUAUUGUACUAAAAGUGAAGUCAUUUUUAAGCCAUGUUUGUGCUUGUGUUCAAGUUUUCAUAUCUCUUAAGAUGUCUUAAGUUACAGUAUCAUAAUUACAGGUAUAGAUUCCUAUCAAACAACAGCAGACUCACCAAAAUAUUUACAUUGCAAUGUGCCCAGGUUUCUGUAGAUGCAAACUCUUAAAGAAACACUUCAAACACCAUAACCACUAGUGGUUAUAGUGCCAGGAGUUGCCCAGUCCACCCUUCACAUCCAUCCCCAUCCCCACACACACACACUCAAUUGUAACUGGUCAAAUUGGUUUAUAACAAUUUGACUUUUCAUCUGGGGUCCACAGGGCCAUGCUCUUCACCCAGGGCCAGUGCAAGGAUCUUAGACUACAAAAAUGCAAUCGCAAACUACACACAUAGGUACUGAUAGACAUGCAUCGCCGCCUCCCCUGCUGCCAGAGGGUCCUGCAAGAAAACUCUGGUUAAUGUAACUGAGCUAUGCCUUGCCUAGCUCAUUGGUUAACAGUGCUCACCGGAAGCUCUUAACCAGUGAGCAAGGAUCUACAUGGUGGGGCUUAGCACAGUGGCAUAAGUUUCUGGCAAGUGACUCCUGUCAAUUACCCCUGUUCUUAACAAGUAUAGAUCCUGACACUGGCCAGAAUUUCACCCCUUUCCUCCUAAAUUUAGAAUCCAUUAUUUACAGGCAAUGUGCCUGUAUCUCCCCAAUUCACAUCAUGACAUAUCUUCCCCUAGCAAUUGAAGCAAUUAUCCCCUUCCAAACUCACUAUCUGCACCUGCUUAAAAUGUUUUGCCGCACCUGCUUCCCUACACAGUUAUAGAGAGUCACACAGAACACACUCACAGAUAGGGACACUCAUCCAUAUGCUCCUACAGACAGACACUCUCACAGAUACACACUUAUAGACACACUCACAAAUGCACUCCUAUAGACACAGACACACUCACAGAUACACUCCUGUUGACAUACUCUGAAAUACAAAAACUUAUAUACACACUCACAAAUACACUCCUAUAGACACACUCACAAAUACUCAAUUAUAGACACACUCACAGAUACAUUCAUAUAGACACACUCACAAAUACACUCCUAUAGACACACUCACAAAUACACAAUUAUAGACACACUCACAGAUGCACUCCUAUAGACACACUCACCGAUACACAAUUAUAGACACACUCACAGAUACACUCAUAUAGACACACUCACAAAUACACAAUUAUAGACACACUCACAGAUGCACUCCUAUAGACACACUCACGAUACACACUUAUAGACACACUCACAGAUACACUCAUAUAGACACACUCACAAAUACACAAUUAUAGACACACUCACAGAUGCACUCCUAUAGACACACUCACAGAUACACACUUAUAGACACACUCACAAGUGCACACUUAUAGACACACUCACAAAUACACUCAUAACGACACACUCACAGAUGCACUUCUAUAGACACACUCACAUGUACACUCCUAUAGACACACUCACAGAUAUACACAGAUGCAUAACAUUAUACUCAGAUACAGACUUACAAUCAUGCAUGCAGACACACACUCAGUCACACAUUUACACUCUGACACACAGACAACACACUCACAUACCCAGAUACACACACACAGUAUCAGAUGUGACCCACCCCUCAGAAUCUCUCCAGCACACAGUGUGCACCAAUCUACAGUUCCUACUAAUUCCCCUUUCUGAAAGCCCUACACCAUCCCCCACUUCCCAUAUUAUCUAAAAGUCUGCAUGCUGUGGCUAUUCCUACCUAUGGGGAGCUGCAGCCCUUGCGGUCCGAUGACACGUAGUACAGUGGGAGGGCUGAUUGAGGGUCAGGGGGUGGGGCUUUGCAGACAGCGGCCAACAAUCUGCUUCAGGGUGGCACAAACCCUCAGGGAGGUCCUGCAGCAUCCAGCUUCGUGUUGGGCUUCAGCAGAUUGACAUAGCACCAGUAGGCUGUCUAGAACCAUAAGUAUAGAGCUCCAUAGGGCGGGCAGACAGAAAUUGUUCUGCAAGAAAUAUUUACAAAUGCAAGUCUCUGGCAGGGGCCCGGGGAUUUGGAUUUUUGCGCCACCCUGCUAUGGCGCCCUAAGACGGCUGCCUAGGAAGCCUUAUGGACACACCGGCCCUGUCUUCACCUUCACUACAGUUACAGGAGAGCCGUAAUCACCGGGCCAGCAGUGUUAGCUAAACACUCUCAACCAAUGAGAUUAGUUCUGGCCGAACUGUUAUGACUAAAUAAUAUACAUAAAAUAUUAGGUGCGCCAAUAUAAAGUCCAAUUAGUCUACAAUUGCUGGAGUUUGUUCUCAACUGGUAACCAUCCAGAUUUCAAAUGGUGGGAGUAUAUGAAAUUAAAGCAGAAAAUAACCAGUAAUGGUGCAGAGCGUAUGGAACUGGGUGCAGGACAUACAACAAUAAUAUAUAUGGUUUAUCACUCACAUUUGAGAGAGCUAUAAGACCAGCUCUGAGUUUAGCAGCAUGCAGUGGUACAAUCUCCACUGAUGGAUAUGUAGAUCUGGGGGCUGGUCUUUUGAUAUAUAAAAGAUAAAAAUGGCAAACAAUGGUGCUCACUGUAAUCAAUAUAUUGAUGGUUAUAAGAGUAAGAAUUUUCAACUCACAUGUCGUGGUGCAGUAGAUCCUGCUCAGAUGGUAGCGCUUGGGUGCUAUAAUCCCCACCAUGGAUAUGAUGUUAAGUAGAUUCUCCAAGGUGUAGUUUCCAAAGUUUUCUUAUUCAGUAUCUUUUUAAGUGCCAGGAACAGAAGAAGUAAAAAAAAUAAUAAAAGCAACUAAAAGCAUAAAUAGUGUAAUAAAUGAACAAACACAACUAGUAGUGAAUGCCAAAUAUACUUUAAUGCUUUAAAAACAAAAGUUAAAACAACACAAUGCGUUUUGCCAACUAGGAGGGGCUUUCUCAAGUGUAGAUCUGCAAGAAAUAUUUAAAAAUCCAAGUCUCUGACAGGGGCCAGGAUUUGGAUUUUUGCGCCCCCCCUGCUGUGGCGUCCUAAGACGGCUGCCUGGGAAGCCUUGUGGAUGCGCUGGCCCUGUCUUCACCUUCACUACAGCUACAGGAGAGCCGAAAUCACUGGGCCAGCAGUGUCAGCUAAUCGCUCUCAACCAAUGAGCUUAGCUCAGGCCGACAUGGUAUGAAUGUAUGGAGAGUGUGGGUAUAACAGCAUGUGUGUUUGAAGAGUGUGGGUAUAUGUGUGUGAAUGGGAGAGUGUAGAUAUUACUACAUGUAUGCAGGGCCGCCUUUACCGCGGGGCAAAUGGGGUAGCUGCCCUGGGCCAAGUUUCUCCUGGGGGCCCGAAGCAGUUGCACCGUGGGCCCUGCUGGUCUUAAGCAUUUCUCCCACCAGCCGCACACUAAGGAGGCUUCUGUCAGCCGGGGCCCGGUCUUGCGCUCUAGCGCUUUAAGAGCGCGACCAGGCCCUCUUGCUUUUUUGGCAGCUGGCUGGGAGGAAGUGACGGCUGCAAGUCACUUCCUCCCAUAAAGAAAGGAGCCGCACGGGAGGAGGAAGAGGCAGAGAGGAGGGGGUCUAGGCCGAGAUAUCCAGACCGCAGCUUCAUACAGCUUCAGCCACCAGUGGGAAAGCCACCUUCCAAGGUAGGAAACUGGAGGGUGGGUUUGAUAGUGUAAAUUUUGUGUGUGUGUCAGUAUGUCUGCCAGUGUGUGUGUGUGUGUGUGUGUGUAUCUGUGAAUGUCUUCCUCUGAUGAAGUGAUCACUUCCUCUGAGGAAGUGAUCUGUGAUCACGAAACGCGUAAGGCGGCAUCUUCACAUCGGUACACAUCAGUUCCUGAGAGCAAGCACUUUUGAAAUGCAUCCAGAGCCGCAGUGGAACGCAUGUGGCCAGAAUCCAGUGUCAUUCCAGCACAAGGAGGUCCUAAUUCACUUUUCUCUGGCUGGCAAGAGAGUGAUUUUAACAUCUUUGGACCCCAAGUCUGCAAUACCUGGUACUAUUGCUACUUCUAUAUGCUAUUCUUAUUUGGGACUGUUUAACUUAUUAGUCUUUUAUAUAUCUAUGUGUUUUUGUCGACAGUUUACAUGUACUAAUAAAUUUUUAAAUAGUACUCUGUCUGCUGCACUGUAUAAUAGACUUUACUAUUAAGAUUUUAACCCUUUGUGGGAUUCAACUAUAAUAUUUUGUAUAUUGGUUCUGUACUUUAUCAGUCCAGAAACCUAUACUAGAUCAAUAUUUCAGCAGCCUGUGGAUUUUACCUACCUUAUACUAAAGGAGGUAAAGAUCUGACUAGCUGAUACAUCCACAUUCACUGAGUCCUGUAUAUAUUAUUGAUUUAUUUCAAUAAGUAUUCAACAUAUUCCAUACAAAAACCUGUUUACAUUGAAACACACAAAAACUGCCUAGUGUUAAAUACAAACCUGCAAACAUGGUUAAAUGGUAGAGCCCCAGCUGUCAAUGCAUUGCUGGAGUUGCCUGACAGAUGGGGAUCUACCUUUUAAACAUCCUUGCAAUAGGGAGGUCCAAAAAAAUAUUCUUGCACCUCUCUACUUUAUGUUGCCCCUGCGUUAAGGGUGAUAACGUGAUUGCACGCCUGGGGAGGGUGUACAGGGUCCAGGGGGCCCAAGCAAAUGCUUUGCCCAGGGUCCAAUCAAAGCAUCUCUGAAAUUUACACAUUUGCAUGUAUGUGUGUAUGGGAGAAUUUGGAUAUGAUUACAUGUAUGUGUUUAUGGGAAAGUGUGGGUAUGACUGUAUAUAUGUGUGUACAGGAUUCUGGGCAUGGUCUUAUGUAUGGAAGGGAUGAGGACAGGGGUUAGACUGUCCAAAUGGAGUGGAAAGACUGAGAAUGAACGUGGAAUAAUAUGGGAAGGGUAGGAAAAAGGGGCUUUAACUCACAUAGAUCUGGACUUGUAUAAAAAAGCCCCCAUCAAGGCUAGAAAUGUAUAGUAAAUUAUAAGCAUACUAGAUCCUAAAUGUACCAGGAAAUGUAUAGUGAGAUAGAAGCCACAAAAAAUUGAAAUAAACAGCUGUAGAGGGAAUAUACAGGAAGAGCGCUGCCCAAAUUGGGAAAAGUUGGGCACUGUUAACUAAACAGUGAACUGGUAAAAAAAAAGAAAAGAAAAAUCAAAUACAAUACAAAUGUUUAUUAAUAAAAGGCUUGUAAACCAAAAAUAAGUACCGUAUUUUCCGGCGUAUAAGACGACUGGGCGUAUAAGACGACCCACAACUUUUCCAGUUAAAAUAAAGAGUUUGGGAUAUACUCACCGUAUAAGACUACCCCUCUUCCAAUGCACACCAAAUAAAAAUUAGCCAUGAUGUACAGUGAGCAGACAGAGCUACACAGCAAGACAUUAAAUAAUGAUAAUCUGAAAUAGCAUUUAAAGCCCAGGUAUGUGCCAGGCUGUUUGGGCAUAUAAUCCAUGCCUGCUGGUCUAGCACACAGGAGGCUAAUUGAAAAAUAUUCUCUUUUUACUCCCCCCCCUCCAUUCUUUUUUACUCCCCCCCCAAUCCUCCCUAUGUUCUUCUCACCUCCCCUUCCCUGUGCAGAGUGGGUGGCCGAGCUCCUCUUCGUCCUGUCAGUCCGGCCGGGUACCGCGCGUUACAGGAGAUUCAGUUACCUGUUCCCGGCCGGAUUGAAAGGAAGUGAGCACUCAGGACAAAGAGGAGCUCGGCCACCCACUCUGCACAGGGAAGGGGAGGUGAGAAGAGAGGCAGUGCAGCAGCCGGCUGAGCGCUCUCUAUAGAGCGCUCAGGCGGCUGCAGCAUUAGAAGUGCCGGUGAUGGGGGGCCUUGUGGAUGCGCUGGCCCUGUCUUCACCUUCACUACAGCUACAGGAGAGCCAAAAUCACUGGGCCCCUGCAGCUAUAUAGACCCUAUACCCGGCGUAUAAGACGACCCCCGACUUUGGAGAAGAUUUUCCACGGUUAAAAAGUCAUCUUAUACGCCAGAAAAUACUGUAUAUCAAUGGGCAUCAAAAUGGCAGUCCAUAUAUAUUAAAAGUCAGUUUCUUGUUGCAGAAAUGUAUCAGCUCAAAAAAUAGCAAAAUCUUGUUACUACAUAGCAGGAGCUAGAAUCAUCCGAGGCUGAUAUAUUCUAACCUAUAUAACACAGUGGAAAAUAGGUAUGAAGUCUAUUCCAACAGCAUACAAUACCUGACCUUAUAGUGGUCUCUUGUAUUGAAAGAUGUCUUGAAAUCUACAAAAUAUAAAAGAUAGGAGACAGUGUUCUCUGUUGACACUUUAUUUAUAUUGACACAAUGGUUAAAAACACUUCAGGAAUAAUAGGCAUAUCUGUGGAAAUGUGGAUAUCCUAGCUCCAGAAGCUGUAGGAAUGAAAUCCCUUUCGAUGUAAUAACUUUCGCCAGCUUGAAAGUAGGGAAGCAGCACAUUGGUGACUGGGGAUCACCGCGUGCAUUCCACCGGAGAACCGGCAAAACGCUCCUGCCUUCCACUGCGAAUAUUCUCCACAAAAGUAUCUGUUCUGUAUAAUAGCCUUAUGCGUUUUGUGACUAACAACGUCACUUCUUCAGAGGCUAGUGACGUGAUAAGUCUCAACACGAUUUAUAUAUGGUCCCUAAUCAUGUAACUUUUAUUGGAACAAUAUGUUAGUAUGUUUAUUUAAGACAAACAAUUAAAGGACCACUAUAGUGCCAGGAAAACAUACUCGUUUUCCUGGCACUAUAGUGCCCUGAGGGUGCCCCCACCCUCAGGGACCCCCUCCCGCCCUGCUCUGGAAAGGGGAAAGGGGUUAAAAUUAUCAAUGCUUUCCUAUGGACGCUUGCGUGCUCUCACUGUGAAAAUCACAGUGAGAAGCACGCAAGCGCCUCUAGUGGCUGUCAAUGAGACAGCCGCUAGAGGGAAUGGGGGAAGGCUUAACCCAUUCAUAAACAUAGCAGAUUCUCUGAAACUGCUAUGUUUAUGUAAAAAUGGGUUAACCCUAGCUGGACCUGGCACCCAGACCACUUCAUUAAGCUGAAGUGGUCUGGGUGCCUAGAGUGGUCCUUUAAAGAGGUGCACUGUGAUCUUCUAAGAACGAUAUGAACAAAAUGCAUAUGUAAUAAACAAAUAUAAAAAUAUACCAAUACAAUAAAUAAAGAUGAAAAUGGGACUAUGUAAAAACUGUCUUAAAUAAGAAAAAACAUAAUACUUUUGGCAUAUCGCUACUGAAUGAAUAAACAAAAAAUACCAGACUUCGUGUUGAUAUUUGAAUGGUGGGCACUUGGAUAAAGAUUUAGCAUGAUUGCGAUAUAGCUGUGAAACACCCAAUGUAAGAAUUCAAAAAGAAUAAGAAUAAGUAGCUCAGUAAAAAGGAAAGAAGCAAGUGAGCGCUAGCUGUCAUACAUUGCGCAGCUAUUCUUGUAACACCAGGUUAAUGAGUGCGUUAAGAACAUUGGUAAUACUACCACAUAGAAUAUGUAAUAUAUAAGAGAUCAAAAUAGAUAGCACAAAAAAUCAUGUAAGGACAUAAUGGAAAAUAAAUUACAUUUAAAGAUAAAACUAAAUAUAAAUAUAAGUAUAAUCGGUGGAUGAAAUAGAAGGAGAUGGUCUCUAAUAAGAGAGUAAAAAUAUAGUACUAGGAGUAUCUUGCCAAUGCGUACAUACACAAAUAAUAUUGAAAUUGGUAAUAAAAUUAUUUUGGGCUAAUAUUGAAAUGGUAAUUGGAUAAAUAAUACACAUAAAUAAAAUCCUCGUAUAGUCAAUAGGAUUAUUGAAAUGGGGUGAAAUGACGAUAAGGUGCCUGGUGUAAAAAUGUUGGAGAGGAGUGGUACAAAUGUGCAUAUUGUGUAAAGAUUGAUAGAUCAUAGGUAAAAAAAAUCAGUUAAAAAAAUAGUAUAAUGUGUGAGACCUACAUAGACUGGUGACCAAAAACAUGGAAUGGGCUCUCUAGAAUGUGGAUAAUGGAGGAGGCAUAACUCAAUGCAGUGAGGUGGCCAUACCAAGAAGACAUACUUUAGAAGAACAGGGUCUUAGAUGUAGGACAUGUAGUCUAGCAUGGUAAAAUAGAUAUAAAAUCGUAGUAUAGAAAUAAUCUAUUUGUAGAGUAUGUGAGGGUAUCUAUGGAAUAAUGCACAUGGUAGGAUCUUAUGUAUGUGUGUAUGAGGGAGCGUGGGUAUGUAUGUUUGCAUAAGAGAGUGAGUAUGACUGUAUGUAUGUGUGUAUGAGGGAGCGUGGGUAUGUAUGUUUGCAUAAGAGAGUGAGUAUGACUGUAUGUAUGUGUGUAUGAGAGAGUGUGGGUAUGACUAUGUAUGUUUGUAUCAGAAACUGUGGGUAUGAUUGUAUGUAUGUGUGUAUGGAACAGUGUGGUUAUGUCUGUAUGUACACUUGUAUAAGAGAGUUUGAGCAUGACUGUGUGCAUGAGAGCGUGUGGGUAUGACUCGAUGUAUGUUUGUAUGAGAAAUAGUGAGUAUGAAUGUAUGUAUGUGUGUAUGGGAGAGUGUAAUUAUGAUAUUUGUGUGAUUUAUAUUAAAGAAUUGGGGUAGGAGCAUAUACACUGUAAAAUAUGUUAGUCCUUUAUAAAUGCCUCUAAUAAUAUUAAUAUGUAAUUCAUACUAGGAGGUGCUCUAGAUAUGUACGAUGUAUUGGUGCAUGUGUCAUCCAUACUAAAAGACUGCUACAAAUAGUAUAAAUGACACAGUCUCUACAUCUCGGAAAGGAGUCAUUAUUGAAGUGUGGAUAUAGUGGUAGAUACCAGAAAAGUAGAUCCCAUGCCACUCAAGUUUGCCCACUCCUACUCUAGGCACUAUAACCACUUCAUUGCAUUGACUCCUGUUACAAUCACUCUGUUCAGUGUUAACCCACUUUCAAACAGUUUAACAAUGACCAAGGAUCCCUUGCAAUCAGCAGUAUGGCCGAUGCUAGAAGUACGGCUAAUGAAGAGAUUACCCUCCAUCUUCAUUAUACCUAGUCAUAUUUGCAAUGGGCAGCUGUAACAGGCUGUGAGUGGUCAGCUGAUGCUCUUAACCAAUCAGUACUGCCAGUUUUUGCUCGAGCCAAUGCACAAUUAUUAGCAAUAGCAGCAUUGGGACGGGCUGUGGGUUCCUGGGGAACCUCAUUCAAUGUAAAAAAUAAAAUUGUUCAAAAAACAGUUUAUUACUGGAGGGAUUGUGCCAAGGACUUCAAGCACCAUAACCACUUCAAUAAUGAAGUGGGUAUAGUGCAUAGUGCUUCUCUUUAAUUGGCUGUAGAUGUAGUUCACUUAUAGCAGCAAAACAUUUCUGAGAUCACUCAAUUUAGGAAAUGACUCUGUCUUAAACAAAAUUGAAUGAUAAUAGUAAUCUAUUUCUAGUUAUCUGUAAUAAUCGUGUGAUUGGAGAAACCCCUAUACCCCCUGUGCCCCCAAAAACUGAAAGAGGGAGUUUUUAAAGGACACUAUAGUGUCAGGAAUAAAAACAUUAAAAAAAAUGUAAAAAACGAUUCCCAGCCCUCCUUGGCUCUCCUUAAAAAGUUAAAGAACCUUUUUUGCAAUUCUGUGUGGGUUUGGUUGCAGCCGGCUUCGCCCAUGGCCCGCCUUCUUGGCUGACAUCAUCAUGAACUCAGCCAAUCAAAUUCUUUCCCAUCAGAGAGCAUUGGGAGGCUAUUGUGGAUGCGCGACAAACGCCAAUCAGCAUCUCCUCAUAGAGAUGCAGUGAAUCAAUGCAUCUCUAUUGGAAACAUUCAGCACCUCCAUGCAGAGUGUGAAGAUGUUGAAAGUAGGUUCUGCACCCUGUCACUAGAGGUGUUCUUAGGCAGUAAACACUGCCUUUUCCAGCAAAAAACUUUCAGGGAUAUAGUGUACACACCAGAACAACUACAUUAAGCUAUACCUUUAAAUGGUAUUCCGUCUAUCCUUUCAGGCAUGAAGUACAUCAAUGACAUGUUAGAAAUCUCUAUAGGACGGACAAGCAGGGUAAAAUUCCAAUGAUGGAGUUUAAAAUGCAUUUGGACUCUAUAAGUACCUGUAAGUAGCUUUGAUUGGCAGCAGUUGCUUCACCACUGCUUCACUGCUAUAGUCUCACACAUGUGAGAGUACAAAAUGGGCAAAGAUCUAACAAGAUAUUGUUGAUAUCAGUGAGAUCCUCCCAAAUGUCUUUAUACUUGCAAACCAUGUUAACAAUUCCAGAUAUUGAUGGAAUACAAAUUAUGGAAUUGCUUUCAGUGUCUUUUUUUAUUACAAUGCUAGAAGAAACUAGUCCUUAUUUUGUAUUGUCAAUGUAUUUUUAACCCAGUGAACAAAGUAUUUUUAACCUAGUGAACUCAAUAAGCUGGCAGUGUUUAAUAAAUAACUACUUAGUUAUAAAAGCUACCACUUAUUAUAAUUGACUUUAAUGUUCUUGACUUAGAAAAAUACAUCUUAACUUAGGUGCACCAAUGGGGGUUAAUUAGAACACGAUGCAACAUUAGGGUUCAUAGGAUAAAAUCCUAGUAUUUAUUUUUUAAAGGGACACUCCUGACCCCCUAAAGCUUGCUGAAAUACUUUUAUCUAUUAAUAGUGUGUCCUCAUUUUUUCAUUUACAAAAAGUGGCGAUUUCAACAGAAAUUGGCAUUUUAAUAAAUUUACCAUGUUACACCCCAACUUGUGCCUCCCUCCUGCUGUCAGAGAACCUGUCCUGUUACUUUUUGGUUUGGUGAGCUCAGUUAAGCUAAACUGAAAGGACCACUAUAGUGGCAGCAAAAUAUACUCGUUUUCCUGGCACUAUAGUGCCCUGAGGGUGCCCCCACCCUCAGGGAUCCCCUCCCGCCCGGCUCUGGAAGGGGGAAAGGGGUAAAAACUUACCUUUUUCCAGCGCUGGGCGGGGAGCUCUCCUCCUCUCCGCCUCUGAUCCGCCCCGUCGCCGGGAAUGCGCACGCGUGACAAGAGCUGCGCGCGCAUUUAGCCGGUCGCAUAGGAAAGCAUUAUCAAUGCUUUCCUAUGGACGCUGGCGUGCUCUCACUGUGAAAAUCACAGUGAGAAGCACGCAAGCACCUCUAGCGGCUGUCAAUGAGACAGCCGCUAGAGGCUUUGGGGGAGGGCUUAACCCAUUGAUAAACAUAGCAGUUUCUCUGAAACUGCUAUGUUUAUAAUACAAUGGGUUAAUCCUAGCUGGACCAGGCACCCAGACCACCUCAUUAAGCUGAAGUGGUCUGGGUGCCUAGAGUGGUCCUUGAAGAGGUACCAACUGUCCUGCAUGGGAAAGUCUGUUAUAGGACAUCCACAGAAAGCCUGAGCUGGGUUAGAAGGGCAGAGUUUGCAAAGUCUUCAGACAACCCUCAAAACCCUCAAAAUUUUGCAAGCUGUUUUUAGAUAUAGCCCCAAUUAACAAAAGCAUAAUUAAGUGCAUGCAUGUUUUCUUUUGGGAUAUAACUACUAAUCAGUGGUUUUUCAAUUAUUUUGUUAUUUUUAUUUUGACUGUGGAGUGUCCAUUUAAUAUGCACUCAUUGGUCACUAUAGUAGGUACACCUUCACACCUGCUUGUGAGCUGAGCAGCAGUUCUGUGAGCAGAAAUGUCUUGUUAAUGAGAGAGAGGUCUAAGUCCAGUCAUCAGACAGGUUGACACGAGGGUGAGAGUAUUUGAAAUAACUAUGUGUCAGAACAGUGCUAUGCAAAGGAGAAUCUCUGAGCACACAAUAUGUUGAACCUUAAAGUGGAUAGGCUACACUAGGUACUUCUCCUGUCAAAUAAGAACAAAAAAACAACCCUGAGGUUGCAUUGGGUACAGAAAAACUGGACGAAGAUUUGAAACAUGUUCGGUCAUAUUUAAAGAUCUGCUAUGGGAUUACUCCCAUUUUUUCUUAAAUCAUCAUCUCUACAUGUAUGGCUGCUGAUCCAUUCCAGAGUCUUUUAAAUUCCAACACAGUCACAUAUCAUUCUAGUUAAUGAGGUACUGAUUAGGGGAUCACCCAAAUCUUGUUUAAUGAAGAACAGGCCCAUCGCUACCGGACAGGCAAAUCAAGCAACUGCUUGUGGCCCGGGGCCCCAAGCAGAGCUGGUGCUUCCUAUAAAGCUGCAGCCGCCUGAGCGCUCUUUAGAGAGCCUCAGGCGGCUGCAGCACUCCUCGUCAUCACCUCCCCUUCCCUGUAGCGUGGCCGAGCUCCUCUUCCUCCUGGCUGUCAGUCAGGCCGGGUACCGUGCAGUACAGGAGAUUCAGUUUCCUGUUCCCUGGCCAGACUGACAGGAAGUGCACACUGAGGGCUCACUUCCUUUCAGUCCAGCCUGGAACAGGAAACUGAAUCUCCUGUACGGCGUGGUACCCGGAUGGACUGACAGGAGGAAGAGGAGCUCGGCCACGCUACAGCCAGAGAAGGGGAGGUGAGAAGAACAUGGGGGGGAGCAAGAACAUAGGGAAGGGAGGGGAGUAAGAAGGACACACAGGGAGGGGAGAGGACACAGGAGUAGUAAGAAGGACACAGGAAGGGGGUGAGGGGAGUAAGAAGGACACAGGGAGAGGGAGGAGAGGAGUAAGAAGGACACAGGGAGGGUGGGAGGGGAGUAAGAACAUAAGGAGAGGGGAGUAGUAAGAAGAACAUGGGAGGGAGGAGUAAGAACACAGGAGAGGGGGUGAGGAGUUGAGGAAAACACAGGGAUGGGAGGUGCGAGAUGAGGAAAACACAGGAGAGGGUGAGGAGAAGCAGAGAUGAGGAGAACACAGGGAGGGGAGGUGAGAAAGAGACUGGUAGGUGGGGGGAGAGGAAAGACCACUAAGGGGCAGGGCAGGGCUCUAAGCAGUAUUUGCACUGUAAACCUUUUUUAUUUAUAUAAAGUGUGGGUGAACUUAAACUGUAUGGCUAUGCUGUGGUUCCUGUAGGCUUUGGCGCGUGGGGGGAGGGGAGUUGGGGGUAGGGGGUCCUCCAUGUCCAUUUUGCUUGGGGCCCCUAAAAUUCCUUCAAACGGCCCUGAUGAAGAAAUAUAUAAAAAUCACUGCAGGAUCAGCACUAUCCUUUUUGCAAUAGGACCAGCUAGAUGACAAAAACAGUGCUAAUAGUACCUCAAACAUUAUUAGAAUUAAAAAAUAUAUAUUGACAUUGUCCAAAGAGGUAAAGAAAAAAGGUUUUGAGUGAGGAAAGGAAGGGUUCAAUACUGGCUUUACUGCCAGAGGGAUACAAUGAGCAUCAUGUUGAUUUCAUGCUGUAAAUUUCAAAGACGGUAGUUCAUAAGAACAAGGAUAAGCAGCAGACAUUGGUGAUAACAAAGUUACAGGCUUGCAGAGGGUGAAAACAACUCUCCACUGACAGGGAUGACUGCCAACUCUUUCGAAUUUCACUCAGCAAUCAAAGGAUGACAUGAAGUGACCUACAAAAAGGAUGACAAAUGGCAGCUGAGGUGAAGUGCACUGUGAAGACGAUUAAAAACAGACUUCUAGGGGCAGAGCUGAAAUUAUGCAAAGGUAGAUAAAGCCCUUCAUCAAUGAGAAGCAAAGAAGAACAAAGCUGAGGUUUGCAUAAUACCAUAAGGGUCAUAGGCGUGCGCAGCCUAUUGCAUUAGGGUGUGCACCCUAAAGCACAAGCCGCAUAUAUAUGUAUGUGUGUGUGUGUGUGUGUGUGUAUGUAUGUAUGUAUGUGUGAGUAUAUAUAUAUAUGUGUGUAUAUAUAUAUAUAUAUAUAUAUAUAUAUACAUACACACACUGCUCUGUGUGUGACGGUGCUGGUAGUGUGCUAUGUGGGUGAGGGUGUUUGUGUGUGCGUGCUUGUGAGGAUGCUGUUAAUGUACUGUGUGUGAGGGUGCUGUUUGUGUGUGAGGGUACUGGUAGUGUGCUGUGUGUGUGUUAGGGUCCUGUUUGUGUUUGUGAGGGUACUGUUAGUGUGCUGUGUGUGUGUGUGAGGGUGCUGUUUGUGUGCUGUGUGUGUUUGUAAGGGUGCUGUAUGUGUGUGUGGGUGCUGUAUGUGUGUGGGUGCUGUAUGUGUGUUGGUGCUGUGUAUGUCUGUGGGUGCUGUGUAUGUCUGUGGGUGCUGUGUAUGUCUGUGGCUGCUGUAUGUCUGUGUGGGUGCUGUAUGUCUGUGUGGGUGCUGUGUAUGUCUGUGUGGGUGCUGUGUAUGUCUGUGUGGGUGCUGUAUGUGUGUGGGUGCUGUGUAUGUCUGUGGGUGCUGUCUGGGUGCUGUAUGUGUGUGUGGGUGCUGUAUGUGUGUGUGCUGUGUAUGUGGGUGGGUGAUUGUGGGGGUGGAGGUGGGGGUACAUUAAUUGCUAUCCCCCCUCCCUUCUUACCUUUUGUAGGGAGGGGGGAUCGUGCUGCUGAUUCCAUCCCUGGUGAUCCAGUGGAGAGUGAACUCUAGCUCCCUGUGGGGCUAGAGUUCACUCUCGCGAGAUUUGAGCGUUGCCGUGGCAACGCUCAUAUCUCGCGAGAGGAACCCGGCGGAGCUGCCGGCAAUAGCUCCGCCGGUCCUCUCCUGCCUCCCUCCCUGCAUGUGGGUCAGUGGGGAGGGAGGCUGAGAGCAGAGCCGGCGCUCGGAUAGCGCCGGCUCUGCAUGAGCCAGCAGGGGAGAUCCUGAGAUCUCCCUUGCCGGUCUCACUGCUAGGCGUGCCACGGGGAUUAGGGUGUGCCCAGGCACACCCGGCACACCCCGUGCGCACGCCUAUGAUAAGGGUUGGACCAUAGAGUACUGGGGUAAGGUCAUCUUCUCUGAUGAGUCCAGUUUUUAGCUUUGUCCAACACCUGAUCAUCUAAUGGUUAAAUGGAGAACUGGAGAGGCCUACAAGCAACAGUCUCUCACACCCACUGUGAAGUUUGGUGGAGGAUCAGUAAUAAUCUGGGGUGCUUCAGCAAGGAAUUGGGCAGUUUUAUCUUUGUGAAUGAUGCAUAAAUCAAGCCAUGUACAAGGUUGUCUUACACAAAAACAUGCUCCUUUGUGCUCUGACACAACCUCAUUGAAAAAUUCUGGAAUGUGAUCAAGAGGAAGACGGAUGGUCGCGAGGCCAUCAAACAUAGUUAAGCUACUUGAAUUUUUGCACUAAGACUUGUGAUUUUUAGAGGCGACCCCUCCUUUUCUUUAAGAUAUGUAGAAGACUUGUAUAUCUCAGGAGAUAGAAAGUAUAUAAUAUAAUGUUGCAUUGAGAAAUUGUAUAUGUUGUAAAUAGAAUAAUAUACUCACAACUACAGAGACUUUGCAAUGGCUAAGUAAAAACAGCUUUCUUUGGAAAAAUAAGUAAUUUAUUCAGCACAUUAGAUGUGAUAUCACAGAAAUAUUUUGCAUUUUAAUUACAAAUCCACUGUAUAAAGGCUUUGCAGUAGUUGUGGUAUUGGUGUGUUUUGUGGAAUUAUGCACUACAGUGUGGUAUCUGCUCACUUUAAAAAGUGUUGAAGUAUAUAUAUUGAUAUUUAAAUAUUAAAUCACUUUCUUGUGCUUUUGCACACAUACUUUUUUUAAAGUAUUAUAAAAUGUAUAUUAUUUAUUUAGAGUAAAUUAUCUGCAAACAAAUCUUAAUUAUUGGUGGAAAAUGGUAGUAUACCAGAAUGAAAAGUUAGAUUAAAACUUAAAUGCUACUCUCCAGGCCCAUUCGCAGCACAUUAAUAUAUCAUUAUUAUUAUACAGGCUUAAUUUAUUUAAAUAAUACAAUACUGUCAGCUCUUUAAGGUUUGUGUGAUGUAACAACACACCCACACUGCAUCAUCAGCUCCAGAAAACCUUUACUGGGUUGCCAUGGUAAUACAUUUCUUUCUGACGCAGAAGCUACAAAUAUGUUUAACCUACUAUUUUAGACAGAACAUAAAUUGCAGCCUUACUCUGUUACAGCUUUCAAUUCUUCAGUUUCAGGCCUCUUCAUCAAAUAUUUGACCAAAUGGAAGAUAAAUAGUUGGAGUUUCCCGGUUUUAGCAAAGAGGGGAGAAAUUCACUGACACUUUUCUUUUUUUAAUGCUCCAGAAUUGUAGUUUACACUGUCAGAAAAAUGCGAUGCAAAGAAAAAAAUGGCAACCCCAGAAAUGAAUGACACCGUCUCUCAGCUUUUUGCAUUCUCCUUAGUGAUCCCCAUAUUAGAUUAAAACCAUCAUAAAUCGGUCUGCAAGAAAUAUUUUCCUCUUGAUUAGGAAAACUAGUACUACUCAAGUAUGUCUUGAGUUAUAAUUUCUGAGCAAAUCACACCAGAGGCAUUGCUUGCACUAGAAAAUCCGGCCCAACAGAUGUUGCUGAACUACAACUCCCAUGAUUCUCUGGCUAUCUAUGUAAUUCAAAGAAUCAUGGGAGUUGUAGUUCAGCAACAUCUGGAGGGCCACAGUUUGAGGACCCCUGCACUAGAAGAAGGCAUGUCAUCUUGUACUAGCUAAUGCUUGUUAUCCAUACCUAAUAAUCUUUUCUAUCCACCUUCCAUGUCAGAGGUGGACAGGGAAGAGAACAGGGUCGGUGUGGGGUGCAGGCCUACCUGGCAUGGGCCCACUGCUUAAUAGGGUGACUAACAGCCUGCCCCAUAACCAAACCAUACAAGGUGCACUGUUAAAGCAAAAUGUGCAUUGUUCUAGUACCUAGUCAUCUCCUCCUGUAUUUUGAAGUCUACCAGCACGUUUCAAACUGCAAGACAAUGCCGGGACCUAUAUUUAUUGUGACAGUACCCCAAAAUACGGGACUGUACCGGCAAAUGCAAGACUGUUGCUACCUACAGUUAUCCAGUAUGUCUUCAAAUUAACACUCAUUUAAAAUGCAUUCAACGAACAGUGGCAUAACAGUUUGGUUGCAACGGUGUCUGAAGCACUCCAUCAAUGGAUCUAUAUCAUAUAGAAACAUGUUAGUUCUACAUAGACAAAAAAAAAUAUUCUCUACAUAUUCUGACUGAUUAUUUCUCUCAUGAGAUACAUGUUUAUCAAGGACCAUUUUUAGAGGAUUGCUCUUGCAGCACCAGGGCUCAGAUACUCACUAGGAACAGCUGCAUUUUUUGUCUUCCAAAUGUAGAAAAGGGUAAUCUAGUUCAUAGUGGCUUUGCAAAUUUGCAAAAUAGAUUCCACAAUCUUUGGACAGGGAAAGUAGAUUUUGAAAGACUUAAUCUAUAUAUAUAUAUAUAUGUAUGUAUAUAAAUAUAUUGAAUAGCACAACUACACUGAACAAAGUUAUAAAUGCAACACUUUUGUUUUUGCUCUCAUUUUUCAUGAGCUGAACUCAUGAACUCUAAGACUUUUUCCACGUACACAAAAGGCCUAUUUCUCUCAAAUAUUGUUCACAAAUCUGUCUAAAUCUGUGUUAGUGAGCUCUUCUCCUUUGCCGAGAUAAUCCAUCCACCUCACAGGUGUGGCAUAUCAAGAUGCUGAUUAGGCUGGCCACAAUAAAAGGCCACUCUAAAAUGUGCAGUUUUACUGUAUUAGGGGGAUCCAGAGGGGUCUGAAAAACAGUCAGUAUCUGGUGUGACCACCAUUUGCCUCACACAGUGCAACACAUCUCCUUUCGCAUAGAGUUUAUGAGGUUGUUGAUUGUGGCCUGUGCAAUGUUGGUCCACUCCUCUUCAGUGGCAGUGAAAAGUUGCUGUAUAUUGGCAGGACCUGGAACACGCUGUCAUAUACGCCAAUCCAGAGCAUCCCAAACAUGCUCAAUGGGUGACAUGUCCGGUAUUACUGAACUGGAGGCCAUUACUUAUGAGCAAUGUGCUAUGAUUCCUCAGGAACGCUGACAGAAGCUGGUGUCUGGCUAUGCAUCUCAUUUGCAGCAGGUCAUAAUAGCAAAAGGGUGCUCUACCAAGUACUAAAGAUGAUUGAUAAUGGUUCAAUAGUUGUGAGACUGGAGAACUCAUUUUCAGUUAAAUUUGGGGAAGCCACUUGAAGCAUUUGUUGUAUUGCGCUUUUUCAAUUGCUUUUGUUUGAUUUAUUAAUUGCAAACAGUUGAAAGUCUGUAAUUUGACAAUAAAGCUGAUUUUCCAUGGGGUUGAAUAAUUUUGAUUACAAAUAAAUAUAUAUAUAUGAUUUCUUCACCCUUGCUGGGUGGUAUAUUUAUUCUGUAUUCUUGGGUCCUCUGCAAGAGGCCUGGGAGUCUGAGGGUUCUGUGCAGUAUCUUGGCUAGAACUGAACUCUUCUGGACAGCAAUCUCAGAUGUUCCACCUGGAAUCUGUUAAAGCCACAACCCCAACUUGGGAGUUGCAACUGUUAGUUCAUUCAUUGGUGUUUGUUCAUCUUCUCAUGUUCUUCCUUAUGUUAUAGCCUGGAUCUGGAAGACCCAGAGGAUCUAAGCCCUGUUAUUCUUAACUACCCUUUAUGAUUUUUCCCAUCUGGACUUAGGCAGGUCCAGCCCAUAUUUUAUGCAGAUGAUGGAAUAUAAAUACACAAUAUCACAAUUUGCAUAUUUAUUUUUUAUUUUUUGUUAAACGGACAGAUCAUGUGAUGGAAUACGAUAUGGAAUACCAUAUUGUAUGGAUGGUGAUGUCAUCCAUGCAAAUUGUCCAUUCAAUGAAGAAUAACAAAGCAGGGACCACCUCUGUGCAUUAUUGGGUUCCUAAUCUUGGGCAUCACUGGGAGAUAUAUGUGCUAAUCUGUUCUACAUUAGUGGGAAUUACACUGCCAAGCGGUACACGGUUUUAAUGACAGCAAUUGAAAUAUAAACUGGGGCUGUAAUUGGGACUGGGACUGUUCCAGUGCUGAUCCUUAUAGUAAAAUCCCCCCUUUAACCUCCACAUUACCCUAAAACACUGUGGUAUGUUGUACUAAACAUCAACGCUACACUACAAUAACAGGAUAACCAAAUAUUAACCCCUACAAUACACAGUCACUAAACUUUCACCCCUGCACCACAUUAAUAAUAAUAAUAAUAAUAAUAAUAAUUAAAAAAAACAUUAACAUCUACACUUAGAGCAUAAGAUUUCAAGUCCUAUACUACAAGCCAGGCCUGCACUACCUUACCACACCAAUAGUAAUCCUAAUUUAACAAUAUAGUGUAAUGUAAAAAAAAUACAUAAUGAAAUACAGAGAUGUACCCAGGUUACCUGUUACACGGACGAAAAAUGUAUAUUGAUACCCCUUACCUCCCCGCCUCAUUUCUAUUCAAUGCCUCUAACACCCUUUUGUUAGGAUAAUUACAAACACACAUGCUCAUAUUCAUUUAAAUACACACACACACACAUUCAUAUAGACAUGCUCACAUUUGUACACACACUCAAUCAUUCAUACACAUAGAAGCUCACAUUCAUAUACACAUGCUCACAUUUAUAUACACACACAAAAAACACAUACAUACUCACACACACACACAUUUGAUUUGUGUUUACUGCUGGUAUUAGUCUAUUCACUAAAUGCAAAGCUCCCUGCAACUCAAUAUUGAUGUUGGUGCUAGGGUGAUGUUACACCAGAGCAUCAAUACAGGCCUGCAUGGUCUGCCCAUUUAAAUUCUGCUCAGAGUCUCUGUGCAAUCCUCUGUUCCCCUUCACCAAGAUAGAGUCUAUUUCUCCAGUAGAACUCUUACUGGAGUAGUAUGUAUUGGAAAUGAGUGCCAUCUUGGGUUUCUGGAGAUAUUUAUGAAGUACUCAUCCUUCAGUCGUGUGGUGUGGAUGGAUGGAUGGAUGGAUGGGUACCUGCAUUCUUUACACAUGACGAUUAAAAUCAUACUUCGAUUUCUCAGCACCCUUGCAGCUCUCUGAAUGUAAACAUCUUUAUCUUGUGCUGAGUGACUAACACCAGUGCUAGCCCCCAGUGCUUUUCUAAAAAUAAGUCGAGUUAAGCAACAGUCAUGGGAAUACAAAAAGUUCCUCUGUAAUUGCUCAGUUAAAAAAUAAUGGCUUUAGCAUGCAGCGUGACAAACCAUACCUCAUUAUUCAUUGAAAUCGCUUCCAUGCAAACUUAUAAUGACAAAAUAUAAAUGACAUCUGGGAUCUGGGAGCUUUGACACUGCAAGGGAUUAUGGAUAUGUACACGCAAUAUUAUUCAAAACUGACAAUUUUAGUUGUUUUUGAAACAGAAAUACAAAAACACUAACUGCUUUCCCAGAUCACUGUAACUGUCGAUCAGCCUUUGACGAGUUCUUUCCUAUUCAUUAAUGUGGUAUAUUGAUUCAGACAGAAUGUACAGUGUUUGCUCCAAACCAAGGAAAACAUUGGGUAUCUCUGCAUCUACUCUGGAAUUAUACAUAUCUGUUAUUUACCAUGGCUGAAGAUGUAGCUAUACAAUCGUUGGAAAUUAGAUUCUGAUUUUAGUAACUGACACAUGUUUACAGAAGUUUAUUUUCAAUCCUGGGGCUGAAUUCUGUGAUGAGUGUUUACAGUUCUGCAAUAAUGCUGUAAGUAACAUAAAAGAGCUUAAUUAUCAUUGCAUUUUUGUAAUGCCAAGCAUCAUUUACAUAACUGGGUACAUUUCAUUUCCCAAUGCCAUAAUCCAGCAGUACACACCCCUUGCAGUACACUGCUUAUGGAGUCUUACGGGUAGGAAAGUAAGGGUUAAGGGGUGUUUUGAGAUUAAGUAGGUUAUAGCUAAGGGUCAAGAGGAACUUUAAGUUAGAUGUACCUGUAUUGAAGCUGCGGCAAACUUUAACUCCUUUCCUCUAAAAAAAUGCUGCUCCUGGCUGACAGUAACCAGCAUUACAAUCCACAGUUGUUUUACAGCAGGAAACCCCUGUUGACUAAGACUACUGCACUCCAACUCUCAACCCUAAAAUAGUACUCGAACCAUAAUCCCGCUCUAAUCCUAACCUUGCCUUUUGAAUGACAGUCUAAGGGCAUGGUGGUGCUCCUAUGAACAGAGUGUUUUCAACACAGACGUUUUAAAUAUAUACACGUUUAGCAGAUUACAGCCCCUUGAUUUUACAGAAAAUGUAAUGUAUAUGAUUAAUUAAAAUCCUCCUUAACAGAAUUGUAAUCUGAAAUCCACAGAUUUUUUUUUUACAAUUUAGCACAUAUAACCCAAAUGAAAACAUGCAUGCAUUUAAUUAUGCAUUUUUCCAUUCAGGGUUUAACUAUUAACACCCUGCAACACCUACAGGUCUCAUGUUUACUGCCUUUGCAAGCCCUCCCAUUCUAACCUCGCCCAGACUUUCUGUGGCUGUCCAAUCACAGACUUCCCAAUGCAGCUCAAUGAGAAGUCUUUGCAAAGCAGCUGCUCUAGGCAAUUGCUGCCUCUUGAGUUUAGCUACACUGAGCUAACCAAACCAGGAAUUAAUAUGACGAUUGUUUGAUUGACAGCCAGGAGGGGUGUAACAAGGUUAAUUUAUAAAAGUGCCACUUUCUAUUGAAAACUGCCCUUUCUGCAAAAUUUAAAAAAAGAAACAACUAAAAAAAAAAAACCUCUUCACACAUAAAGCAUUACAGCAAUCUAAAGUACUUUAAGUGUGUGGAGUGUCCCUUUAAUAGGGAUUAUUGUUAUUUUCUGCUAUUCAUUUUUUUUUUAUAAUUUUAACAAAAUUAACUUUUCUAGGUGCAGCUGUUGCGGGAAUUUACCAAGUGGCCGGAAAAAACAUGGCCCCUCUUGAAGCAUUGGUGUUUGGAGUUGGACAGACAGUGCUGACAGUGAUUAUAUCCUUUUCACGAGUCCUUGCUACUCUGUAAAACUCAAUCACGAGAGUCCGAACAUCUGACAAGAAAGCUUUCCAGUUGGAGAUUAAGUCUUCUGAGGGCAGAUAAUUGAUGAUUAGGCUGGGAUUCUUGAAGAAAUCAAGAAGAACUGUACACCAGGUCAUUUCUCUGGUGAUGUAGUAUGGCGUGCUGAAGAUCACGAAAUAACAGUGUAUUUAAUGCACUGAACAGUUUUAGAAGGAGAUUCAUCUAUUGUAAGUGGAGUAGCUUUUGAUUGGCAAGCUGUUGCACUAAUAAACUGCACAGCACCUUACGUGCCUCAGUUAAGAGCAAGGUGCAAUCAAUUUUCUAUAAUGCUGCAGGAAUAAGCACCUUGCAGAAGUGUCAAUGUGGCCCUCUAGUGGCAUAAGUAUGGCUGUACGGCAGUGAUGUUCCAUACUGUGCUACGGGGAGCUGCCAUGUAACACUAAUUAGGUUUAACAAAUUAAUAGAGAAGUGUGAAAAAGUAUGUAGCUUGUGAAUGUGAUGAUGGGUUUUUUUUUUUAGAGACACAGAUGGAAGACCACUGCCUCGUAACUUAGAACAGACAACAGGGAUAUAAUAUUUGUGCCAAAUGAUUCUCUUCCUUUGUUUUUAUAUAUUUGUAAUGUGUUUGAUUCUGAAAUGCUGACUGUGACUACAUUGGUGCAAAGGAUAUGUUCUUUUUUGGAAUGAUUAAUAUUUUACAAUAUGAAAGCACAACGGUUGUUGUUUUACAUAUGUGGAGGGAUUCGGCAAUCUGCAGCCCUCUUAAUGCUUUUGGACUACAACAACCAUUCGCUUCUGAAGCUGGAAAACCCUAAUUUGAUCAAUCAGGCUGGUAUCAAUGUUAUACAUACUGACAGCAAUUUAAAUUUUAGAUUUGACACAUGCAGAAGCAAUCUUAUAACGUGUAUAUUGCUUAGGUAAGUGAAUUGCUAUAUUAUGAAUUUGUAUAGUGUGUGUAGUAUUCUGCCUCACCAUGAGUGUUGAUCACCAUCUGAUUGUCUAGUUUAACUACUAAACUGUAAACGUUGAUAACCUAAUAACCAGCUUAACAAAUCCAGGUUACCAAAUCCAAGCUGAGGAAAUAGAGGGCUUUAUUCACUAAACAAUUAAUGGUGAAUUGUUUACCAGACAGCAAAGUUUACGCCAAAGUAGCUAAUUUGGAAAAAAAAAUACUCCUACUUUACUGUAAUCACAGCUUGGCUAUUUUAGCAACCAUUUUGUUAUUUGGUUUUUAAUUCACUCCAAUUCUAUAUUUGAGUAAUCUUCAUUGUGUUAAAGGGACACUAUAGUCACCUGAACAACUUUAGCUUAAUGAAGCAGUUUUGGUGUAUAGAACAUGCCCCUGCAGCCUCACUGCUCAAUCCUCUGCCAUUUAGGAGUUAAAUCCCUUUGUUUCUGAACCCUAGUCACACCUCCCUGCAUGUGACUUGCACAGCCUUCCAUAAACACUUCCUGUAAAGAGAGCCCUAUUUAGGCUUUCUUUAUUGCAAGUUCUGUUUAAUUAAGAUUUUCUUAUCCCCUGCUAUGUUAAUAGCUUGCUAGACCCUGCAAGAGCCUCCUGUAUGUGAUUAAAGUUCAAUUUAGAGAUUGAGAUACAAUUAUUUAAGGUAAAUUACAUCUGUUUGAAAGUGAAACCAGUUUGUUUUUUUUGUUUUUUUCAUGCAGGCUCUGUCAAUCAUAGCCAGAGGAGGUGUGGCUAGGGCUGCAUAAACAGAAACAAAGUGAUUUAACUCCUAAAUGACCGUGAAUUGAGCAGUGAAAUUGCAGGGGAAUGAUCUAUACACUAAAACUGCUUUAUUAAGCUAAAGUAAUUUAGGUGACUAUAGUGUUCCUUUAACAUUUUCCCUAUGAUGUUGUAUUUUGGUAGAAUAUAUAACUUUGCAUAAAAUAUUUAUUAUUGGCUUAAACACAAAUUUGCAUAAAGGCUUUUACGGAUACAUUUUAGGAUUUGAUUCUGUAUGCUAGAAAAAAACAAAACAGCUCUUUCCUUUUAUUUUAAAACAAAUUAAUUAGUUAAAUAAUUCCAAUCUGCAAAAUACACAAUUCCUUCACUUAAUUUUUCAUUUCUUUCCUUAUGUUUUCAAUCAGCACAUUUGACAUUUAGUAAAUACAUUGAGUCCAACUAGGGAUGUCCUUCGCUGUACAAAAAUUAUUCCUUAAAUUGGCAAAUUCAAUGUCACUUUAAAUAUUGUAAACACAACUUGGCAACUUAUGUACCUCCUUGCAAAACUAGCAGUUAAAACUGCAUUUAGACUAGGGUUCUUAUACUGUAUAACAUUGUAAAGAGACACGCCAGGCACCAAUAUAAUGUUGAUGCAUUUGAUAGAUCUUUGCCGUCAUUUUUUGUCAAAUAUAUAGAUUUUGCAUUAAAAAAAAGUAAGUUUUGCAGAAUGCUGCUUCCUAAGCCUGCUUCCGUAGCCACUCCCCUUACUCCAGAAAGACUUCCUUAUUAAAGGUACCCAGACUUAGCCCCAACAGCACUGAGUGAGCGGCUUUAAAUUCAUAAUUUCAAAACUGACUGCAGACAGUCAGGGAAACAAAACGCAUGUAGUGAUAUCCUUACUAUGGGUCUCCCUGGGUGUCCAUUUCUUUCUAAUGCAGGUUGCUUUGUAGUUCAGAUCACUCGGUGCUGUCAGUGAUUAGCUGUGUGCAUAUGUUUUGAUAAGGAAGUAUUUUUUUUUGAGGGGGUGUGGCUAAGGAGGCAGGCUGAAGUAAAAUAUGAAUGAUUUGUCCGAAACCCCAAUUAUUUUAUUACAGUGUUCAAUGUUGAUAUUUGUUAAUAGAAAAAUGGGACAAAAUUCCAAAAGUGGAAGCAUUCACAAUUUGGCAACACUUUUCCAUUGUAGAACAUUUUAAGAAAUGUCCCUUUUGCAUUUAAGAGAGGCAGGUAUAGAGUUUGCUGCAAUGCACUUUUUAACAAGUCUGUGGUCACUUUGUUGGUUAAUAUAACGGAAACAGGCCUACAGCUGUAUUGUCAAUGCUGAACUUGCAGAUAAUCUAUUUCUACAUUUAUGUUUACCAAGAAAUGUAUUCUGUAACUCAGGACACAUGUAACCCCUGUAUGUCAAAAUUACAUAGAUUUUUUUUAUUUACUAAAUAGUAAGAUGUUUUUUGUUGUUGUUGUUUUUAAGCCAUGCUGGCCUAAAGUUUGCUAUUAGCUCAC